AAAAAGUUGAGAAUACUCAUUUUUCUUGGAGUGCAUAUCUCUUCACAAGCUCAAGUACGUCUCCCUAGCGAGCUAAGAUGGCUUGAAUGGCCCAGUGCUCCGAAUCUAGAAUUUGUCUCUAGUCGAAAUAAACUUGUGAGACUCGAUGUCCCGAAAAGUCAUAUCAGACAAUUAGGGGGCAACUUUCAUGUAAGCCAUUGUGAUGAUUAGCUUUUCGUUUUUAUAGCUAUAAUUUUUUUUUUUUUUUGCAGAGCUUAAUGACUUCACUAGUAUGUUUUUGCAGAAAUUUGGAAAGCUGAAGUCCAUCAAUUUCAGUGAAUGCAAGUCCUUGGUUAGUAUUUGCGACCUGUCACCGGCUCCAAAUAUGGAGAAAUUGAUUCUUAAUGGGUGUGAGAGCUUGGUGGAGGUUCACCCAUCCGUUGGAAAUCUUGUCAAGCUAGAAGUUUUAUCGCUAGAGUUGUGCUCUAAUCUUAGUAAUUUUCCCAACACACUGAGGACUAAAUCUCUUCAAACCCUUAAUCUCUCUGGUUGUUCUAAAUUCGAGAAGUUCCCAGAUAUUGACGGAAAGAUGGAACAUCUAAAAAGACUUUAUCUUCGUAGGACGGCUAUUAAAGAACUCCCUGCAUCAAUUGAAAAUCUUGUCUCUGUGGAGUGGAUAAAUUUAGCAUUUUGCAAAAACCUCGUAAGGCUUCCAUGGCACAUUUAUAAGUUGAAAAAACUAGAGUUUUUGAAUCUUCCUGACUACUCUAAUUUAAUCACGUUUCCAAAAAACAUGAAGGAUUCAACUGAUCCCAAUGCUCGUGGGGAAUUCCAAAAUCUAAGGUUCCUAGAACUUAGCCGCUGCAAUCUAUCAGAAGUAGACUUCCUUGAGAGUUUUUCCAGUUUUCCCACAUUGAAGUUCCUGUACCUUUUAGAUAACAAGUUUACUCAUCUGCCGACAUGCAUCAACAAGUACCAUAGUUUGUACGAAUUGUCUGUUGAUAGAUGCGAGCUACUAGAAGAGAUUCCUCAGCUUCCACCAAAUGCCGACCUAUCAGCCAGAUGUUGCAAAUCUCUGCAAAAAUUCCCAGAUCUGGGGGGUCGCCCCGACCUCUCUCUUUCCGUUAACUUGACUUCAUGUUGUGAAUUAUCCCGCAGAGGGGUCACUAUGGCUGAUGUGGCUGAUUUGUCGUUACUAGAGGUCUCUCUCUAUAUAUGUGUAUAUAUAUAUGUCAACUGCAAAUGCUUGAUAUGCGUACUAUCUGUGUGACAGGAUCUGCCAAAGGUGGAUCUUCUCAACAUUUGCCUACCUGGAAGAGAGAUGCCUAAAUGGAUUCUCCCCUGUGAAGGGAAGUCCAUAUCUUUCAUGAUUCCUCAGGAGCUGUACGAUAAGUUCAAAGGAGUAGCUCUCUGUGUUGUUCUUGGCCCGGAGGAAGGAAAAGUGGUCGAUGCUUCAUGUUCAGUUGGAACAUUAACAUAUGUUAAUGGCCGGUCAGCGGGUCAAUUGGCACAAAAUUUUUAUUCAAUGGAAUCUGACCAUGUGUGGUUUCAUUAUCAUCCAGACCUUUUUCUAAAUCUGCGAAAUGAUUGGAGUCAUUACCAAGUUUGCCUCUGGGCAGAAAAAGCAAGCAUAAAGAAGUAUGGAUUCUGUCCAAUAUGCGAGCAAAAGGAGGAUGUUCUGAGGAUGGUGAUCCCAGCACCAUCAGCCGAUGGAAACAAAUUGAAGUUUUCAAGGAGUGAUUCAGAAGAAGAUAGUUCAAUAGACACCAUGGAAGCAGAUGAUCUAUUUGAAAUGUAUGCAGGGGAAAGCUCAUCACGUUUAACAAAGAAGAGAAGAAGGUCUUAACUACGGUGAGACUAUAAGUUCCAAUGUCUUUUCUUUUUCCUUUUCUGGGCCUCCACUAGAGAUUUGCAAGUGCCUGCUCCUUCAAUUAGAAUUCAAGAUCAUUAUAAAACAGGGGUUUCGCACCAUGCUACUAACAUGAUUGAGGAAUUUUUUUUUUUUUUAUGUGUUGUUUCUCUAUAAUUUGUGAUGCAGAGUGCAUUAAACCAAAAAUUAAGAGGAUGCUUGUUAAAAUGGCCAUGGUCUUCCAAGUUGCUCCAUGUAAUUUAUCACACGGGCCUCUGUUGCCUCUCUUAAUCCAAUUAAUGAUGCCAAUAUUUUGUACUUUAAAAUUCUAAGAUAGUAAGUUUUGCUCAAUCUAGUAUAAUAUGUAUCUUCAGGAAAAUAUCGUUUGAAUUGUCUCAAAGAUUAAGAGGUCUACACAGGAAAAAUUAGUUGAUUCCUCUGUUGUUGGUCAGCAGAUUGCAUUGGAUAGGUAUAAAGGGAUAGCGCUGGCUUCUAAGAAACUUUGCAUUUUGGCAAAGGAGGUUGACUUCAAGGAUUUUCAUGAAAAGCAAAUAGUAUGUGGCAAACACCUAAAAUAAGUAUUGCAAAGCAAUUUUUAGAAUGAGAAAAAAGAUUAAAAAGGGAGAAUGAAGGAACUUGUAGGUACAUGUGAAAGCACAAGCGAGUGGCACAACAGUAGGACCAAUGCCGACGUCGUGCGACCCUAGGCAAUAUGCUGCUGAGGUCAACCACCAAACCUAGGGGACGCGACACCAAUGUUGCUUGACCCUAGGCGACACAACACUGAACGCAAGUGUCCCAUGACCUCAAUUGGCAGAAUGUUGGAGCCACACAACUAGGCAACGCAACGCUUCACCCUCGACAAGCUAAAUCUGACAUCAAGUGUCCCAUGACCUCAAUUUCAGCUCAUAAAUUACAAGCUCGUGUCUUUAUCAAGCUUGUUGUUCCAACAUGCAACGAUCUAGAUUUUAAAAACAUGACAUCAAUACGGUUUGAUUGCUACUUCAGUUAAAAUCACGAUGGAUGAUGAGCACGAUUCGGUUCUCCAAUCAAAGCUAAAACCCAUCUCCAAAAAAGGAAAGAAAAGCCCAGAAAGAACACAUCGGAUGCAAUCACCCCCAUCAAUCGAGGGUCCAAAAGGGGAGGUCACAGGGACUAAUACCCAGCCAAACUGAUCAUGUACGCGAAGCAAAUGUGGAAAAAUAAAAAUUCAACACAAAUCAAGAGCAUUGAAGAUCUCAAAUGAAGCACAAAGUAGAACUCACAAGCCAAGUUGUGUUUGGAAAGCAAGGGUGACCCGAGUGUUAGGGUUUCUAGUUAGGGCUUUUUUUUUCUUUUCUUUUUUCCUUCUGAUUUACUCGACAUUAAGUGAGGUGACCGGCAUGAGUGGCGAGUGGCAAGUGUCGAGCGUUGAGUGGGGCGAGCGUCAAUUGGCGGGCAACAAGCGUUGAGCAAGGCAAGCGAUGCGAGUGGCACGCACGAUCAGAGGUGAGCAGCAUGGGCAACCAGAGGCGAGCGGGAUAUUGCUACUUUUGAUUUUGGCAAAUUGAAGAACAAGGAAGAUAGUAUGGAAGAGAACGUACUUUGGGGAAGGAAGCCGUGAGGAGAUUUACAGCGUAAACUUCGCGCCAUUUUGGAUGUCGCGAGUUCGUGACUGUGAGGACUCCUUGGUCCUCACAAUGAAGAUUGAAGAACAUACUCUGGACUAUAGAGGACGUCGUGAAGACCUUUACGACGUAAACUUCACGCCUUUUGGAAUCGGAUGCCGUCUGUUUGUGACUGUGAGCCUGAGGAGUGAACAUCUUCAACAUCAUUUUACUUAGGUUCGAAUAUAUAAAAGAAUUAUAAAUAAUAUAAUAUAACAGACAUUUUACUUAGAUUUGAAUAUAUAAAAGAAUUAUAAAUAAUAUAAUAUAAUAUAUAUGGUAGGUCAAGGGUUGGACCGACCAAAAACUCUUAGGACCGGAGACUAACUCGCACAGUGUUGGUCCUGGAAUUUCAGGACCAAAGACCGACCCAGUCCCCUUGGGAACCGGACCAGGACUGACAGGGUUGGGCCGAACCAGGGUCGGUCCAGGGUCGACCCUAGACCGCUGCUCACCUCUACUGCUUCGCUCCUUCUCUCUCUCUCUCUCUCUCUCUCUCUCUCUCUCUCUCUCUCUCUCUCUCUCUCUCAUGUGCAAAUAAAUUUAUACUCCACAAAGGACAGGAAAGAACUACCAACGCUAGUGACCCUCUUUUGGAUGUCACCCCAUAAAGAGUAUUGUUGACAUCUGAAUUUUGUCCAUUGUUCAAGUGUCCAUUUUGGGCAAAAACAUAAAAGUGCAAAUAAUAAUAAUUAGAAUUAGUUCCGCCCAAAAUCUAAUCCCCUCAGCCCAUCUUUUAGUUCCCUUUGAGCCCAUUUCUUUUGUUCCUUAUGUUGUCCUCAAUAGCCCAUCUGAACUUAAAACAAGAAGGCCCAGCCCAUAUCCCAGGCUCCUUCUCUUUUGCCUGCUCCCCGUCCGUGAGCGACGAAGACGCGAGCAGUGACCGAGCAAGAGAGGCGUCCGUGAGUCGGUCCGUGAGAGAACAGCGAGAGAGGGAAAAUAACAUAAAAGAUUCCUUCUCGGAGAGAGAGAGGGGAGGAGGACGCUCGACGACAUGGAGAGGGCGUGCUCGACCAUAUAGGUGAGCAGGGGAGCUAGCUCGAAUGGGAGAGAAAGGGAGAGUGCAUCCCGUUUCGGAGUAGCAGAAAACCGCAUCGCCGGAGUUCGCCGACGGUUUUCAGAGCUCCGGUUAACGGCCAAUCCGCGAGUUGUUCUUCACAGGGUCGGUGUCGAAGGUCAGACGAGUACUGAGAUUUAUUCCGCGAGCGGGGGAAAAGCUCUAACCAGACGCCCUUCAUCGUCGUCAAUCGAGACCUCGACUCGCCAAACAAACCAGGUACAGUCUCGGUCCAAACGCUCUACUUCGUCUCUGUUUUGGCCGAGAAAGACAUGCUCGGUUCGAUCGAUUUUCUUGAAGAGAUCUUGAUAAAACGAAGUUUCUUUGUUGAUAACCAUGGUGUUUUAAGUCUGUUCGUAACGUGUGAGGCUCAGGAUCUCGUUAAAAUUAAGACAGAAAACCAUUGAAAAAUCUGCGUAUUACAUGUUUGAAAAAAUGCCUAAAAGAGGCCGAAUGUCAAGUCCCGUCUAAAUUCAAGAUCGAUUCGUACUUGCUGUGUUUUUUGUUGAAUCAUAUCUAAUGAUGGCAUUUUCUCUGUGUUUCUAUGUGAUAUCUUUGCUUGAGUCCAACGUACAUGCGUAUCUCCAAGGCCGCAAAGCUUUUCGUCAGAGUAUCCCCUUGCACCAGCGAAGUCAGCGUUUCCGGGACAUACUAGUUAGCCCAUCUCACUUCAUUCUAAUGUAUUUUUGCUUGUUAAUUUGUUGGGAUGCUGCGGUGAAAAGUGUGGAUUAGGUAGGAUGGUUUUUGUUAAGUUUUGUGAUAGAUGGAGCGGGCGGCCAGAGGUGGUCAACGUCGGUCGGAAUAAAUGAUCGGCGGCUGGAGAUAGAUCGGCGGUAAUCUAAGUUCUGGUGAUAAACUCGUCAACGAUGGUAUUUGUUCCGUUAAAAAGAAAAAAUGGCGCGAAAGGUGGGGUUGCAGGUUGAAGAUGGCGUUCGGGUAAAGGAUGUCCGGAGGAAGAAGAGGAAGUGCAGGCAGAAAAAGACAAAAAGACAAAAAACAAUUAGAAAAAAACAUUAAAAAUCCAGUUUUAAUCCGACGCGGGUCGGAUGCGGGUAUAAGGGUCGGGUCAAUGGGUCGGAUCGGGUAAACAGUCCGAACCCAUUCCCCGAAUAUAUUAAUAAUAAUAAUUAUUAAAAAUUUUAAAAAUCAAAAAAUUCAUUAAAAAUUUAAAAAAUUAGGAAAAAUUUUAGAAAAAUUCAGAAAAUGAUAAAAAAAACUUAGGAAAUAAUAAAAAUUUAGAAAAUUCGAAAAUCAAUAAAAUAUCAGGAUUUUUAGAUAAUCAUUAAAGAUUUUUAAAAUCUGAAAAAUAUUAAAAAAAAAAAUCGAUAAAAACAUUUAAAAUUUUGAAAAAUGAGAAAAUUCAUAAAAAAAUUUAGAAGAUUCAGAAAAUCAUCAAAAAAUUUAAAAAUUCAGAACAUAUUAAAAAAUAGAAAAUUAUAAAAAAAUUCAAAAAAAUUAGAAGCUCUUAGAAAUUGAACCCAUAUUUGGACAAGUCUUUAGAGUUUUACAAUAGGGUUCUUUAGUGGUUUGGAAUUUUUUUUUAUAUUUUUUAAGGAACAAUAUUAGGAAGCUUGAAUGUUUUCUUUUUAUUAUACUCAGUUGUACUUUUUAAUAUAUUGGAUGUUAUUUCUUUUGUUUUAGAAUGGUCAGGACAAAACUUAAAUUUUUUCGAUAGGUUGCUAUGGCAUUAGUUAACAUAACCAAGUUAGGUAUUGAAAGGGCGUUAGUCUUAGGGCUAACGUAAUUAAAUCCACGAGUCUAUAAUCUUUGAUUGUAUAAAAAAUAAGAAAUUCUCCUUUAUCUUAUUGAUUUCUAACUGCCCCCAAAAAAGCUAGUGGCCACUUUUUUGUUAAAAUUUACAUAGGCUAAAUUGAUUGAAAUUUUCAACAUUUAAAGUCACGCAUGGUAUGAAUUUGAGAGAGCUAGAGUCAAGGAAUGGUCAUUGGCCUUAAGUUGAUAAUAUUCCUAAACCUAACAAUGAGUUAGGUCACGACAAGUAUAUACUAGUUUUUCAUUCAAAAAUAUAUAGUUUAAUUCACAUCUUAUGCAAUGAGAGCAAGAGCAACGUCAUUGAUAGAAAAUGAUUAAUAAAACCUAAAGCAAUGUACCAAUUUCUAUUUAUAUGUUGGAUCAUAGCCUUCCUUAUUGUUGUGAUUUAUUUUGAGUUAACAACGUUUGAGAACAAAAUCCAAAAGGAUGACUCUACAAAAUUGCCACGCGAAAACCACAAAGCGCGAAGCAAUGUUGGGCAAAUUCACGAGAAAAUCUUGGGCCGACCCGAUUUGAAACAAGCUCGGGUCAAAAUGGGCCUCUUAAGACUGAAACGAUGGGCCGUUUCUCUUGCUAGCUUAAUUGGAACAUGAAUGUGGUUUGGAUUCGCUUUAUAUUUCAUGAAAAUUUUCUUUCCUACUUUUUAAUAUAUUUUUUUAUGAUGAUUUAGUUUUUCUAAGUUCUAAACUGGCCAAAGAAAUUAAUCAUGUGCUAUUGUAGUUUAUCAGUGCGGUUAAUUCACAUGAGUUUACUUUCAAAAAAGCUAAAAGUAACUCUAUUUGAGUAUUUGGUAAAUUCUCGAAUGCAGAAUUUGGUGUCAUCUAACCCCGAAGUAAAUUUUAACGCAUCCCGAUCAUGAAAAUGCUUUGACAAAGAGUUCGUUCAUAUUAGUAGUCUUAACUAGUAUCUUUAGGGCACUUCUACACUUUUAAACAAAUUUUUUUAUGUUAAUUGUAAUAAACUCUUCAAAAAAAUUCUUUUUAAAAAGUCAAGGGAUUUUAUGUUCGCUCUAUAAAAAAUUAGUUCGCUCUUAAAUUAUAAUGUGGUGGUUACUUACAAGUGGAACCCAUGUUAGGAUAUCACUCGGCAAAUCGACAGUCAUCAAGUUCAGAUUUUGGAUGAAUAAUGGCAGACGGAAAGAAAAGAAAAAAAAAUCAGAUUUUUUUUUUCCCAUAACAGUUUAGGAACCAUCUGAAGGAAGUGACACCCAGUCACAGCUGGAAAACCUAUCUGAAAUUAAUUGCUUGGAAAUAACUUGGCCAAAAAUAUCCCAUCAAUUAAUUAAUCUCUAUCCACUUCUCAUUUGAUGGAAGAAAAAUGUCAAAAGUAGAGUAAUCUUGAUUUCGAAUCUUACGCUAGUGACAGACACGUUGAUGACUUAAAGCAUCCUCAGUCACGUCAGGUUUGGACCAAGGCCUUUUUCUAGACGAUGGCUUCUUGACAAUAUUUAUCAUUCCAUAAAAUAUCAUCAAGGGGUCAAAAAAUUCGAAGAAACGAGGAAAAAAGACUGACGAGAAAGGAAUUGCGUAUAUUUUCAUUUUUGAUAUUUGCAAUAUCUUUACUUUUUAGUAUGUAUCCUCUAAGAAUCAAGCCAUUUGAUGGUCAUAGUAAAGACUCCGUCGUCCUGCUCUUAAUAGAGCAUGUCCCAUAUUAUUGUUUGUCUAGACUAAUCUAUCUUCCGUCAAUUGAGAAUUUAAAGGAAUAGCAAUAAUUUCCAUAGUUCGUCAAAUAGUUCCCUUGAAGUGCUUCCAAAAGGUCUCAUAUAUUCUAUCAUUCGCCUAUUGCGUAUCAAGUUCCAACAUAGCUAGCAACUUCUUUGCCCGACUUAACAUUGUGUUUAGCUUAUGGGGAUUCAUGUCUCCAGACUUAAUAACGAGGCCAUGUUUAUUUUUUGCCUGACUUGUAUCGAGCUUUUCAUCUCCCAUACUUUUUCUUGGAUGCUUUCGAUACUUGGUUGUUUACUUUAAAAAGCCAUUUUCAAUGGCCUAUAUGUUAAUUUCCUUUCUAGAAGCUUGAGACUAGAACAAUUUUUUAGGUGUCAACUUAAACUUUGGUGUCAAUAUUAAUGUAGAUAAUUUUGUAAUUUUUAAUUCUAUUUUUAUUCUCUUCACAGGGCUAACAAGACUGUCGAGCCCCCACGCUAGCCAUGGGGGAGGGUUUGUUGUUUCACAAAAAUAAUAUUUACAAUAUACCAAAAUUGAGAUUAGGUGAAACUUAAACAUGAAUGUGCCAUAUGAUAUCAAACUUCAAUCUGUUAGUACUCAGCUCAAUAAUUUUACAAGUCCAAUUGAGUUAUUCUUUUUGUAAAUUAUUUAUAUGAAUUUUGAGCCCAGUCCAAAUUGAAUUCAAGCGCAACUUCUGAAUACUUCAAUUUUCUUUUUCAAUUGAGUUCAAGCAAGAAAUUCAAUUCCCGAUCAAGCUAAGCUCGAGCGAAGUUUCAACCGGUCAAACAUGUGAGUCGAUGCGCGUGGACUGAGAGACACCAGCCGAGCAGGUUAUCACGUGGGCCGGUGGCACCUUUCGUCUUCGAGUCCUUGGCCGAUUCUUCAUCGUUCCAGAUUCGUUGGUCGAUUGCCACGUGUUCUGGUGGAUCCGACGCUUCAGAAUCUUCGGUUCUUUCUGCUUCCCUGGCUCUCUCUUUCCCCACUUUCUUCUUUCUCCUCCUUCAUACUUCUUCAAAACAAGAGUCAACUCAGAGCCGCCUGGCAGCCACAAUCCAAGAUCUCUGUCUUCUCGCCCUCGACACCGUCAGGGCCGUUCCAUCCAUUGUCGUUACGGGUCAGCUUCAUUUACUUUUGCACAUCUAUGGUUUUCCGCCGAUCCCGACGUGGAUCUCGCCCUCCAAACCCUCGCCGCCGCGCGUUCCUUCGUCGUCCAGCAGCAUAUUUAUCUGAAAUCGAAAGCUGAAAACGUUUUCACCAGCCAAAUGGCCCUGAGAGCGCUUGUUUCUUUGAAGCGAGCGAGCGAGAGCCAGAGCCAGGGCAUAGGGAAGAGAUCCUCGACUUUGCUGCUGAUCGGGGAUGGGCAACCCCGGGUCAGAGGCCGCCAAGCAUCUCCGAGAGCAAAGCCCACUCUGCUUCUGCUUUAAGCCCUCGAUUUUCAUAGCAAGACUCUCUCUCUCUCUGUUCCGAAGCUUGGCAUUCUAGAGAAGCACAUGUACCAUCAGCUCUUCUGAUGGCUGCUUCUUCGAAUAUGAAAAGGAAUUACCAUGUGUUCCUCAGUUUCAGAGGGACAGAUGUCCGCCAAGGGUUCCUCAGUCAUCUCUACGCGGCUCUGGGCCAGAAAGGAAUAUACACUUUUGUGGAUAGCGAGGAACUUAGGAAGGGAGAGGAAAUAUCGCCGACGCUCAUGAAGGCGAUCGAGGAAUCGCGCAUCGCGAUCAUCGUUUUCUCUGAGGAUUAUGCCUCCUCGCCGUGGUGUUUGGAAGAGGCUGUGAAAAUCAUGGAGUGCAAGGAGCGAAUGGGCCUGAUUGUGUUCCCAGUGUUUUACAAAGUGGAACCAAGAGAAGUAAGAGGAGGGAGAGAGAGUUAUGGGAGAGCUAUGGCUAAGCAUGAGUCCAAGUUCGGUAAGGAUUCAGAGAAAGUGAAGAGAUGGAAGAAGGCUCUCUUUGAAGCCAGUAGCUUGUCUGGGUGGGAGCUGAAUGACAGGUACGCGCAAAUGUGACGUGGUGUUUUGUGAUUGUUAGCUUGUGAUUGUUUGUUAGAUAUCAAAUCGUAUGCUCUUUUUUGGAUCUUCGAAUUGAAGAUACAAAGUGGAGAUAAAUUAGACAGUAGACACAUAAUCAAAUAACCGAAGCUCGUAGAUUCUUUGAAUUGAUUCUUGCUGUGUGGAUAAUGAGAAAUUUAUGUAACAUAAAUAGUGUGAUUCAUAGUGCCCGAGUCAAUAUUGUCUUCAGAUUCAGGUUCUUUGUAAUUUUCCUUGCGUAGAUGUUGGCGCAGGUACACCCACCUUUCAUCUUAUAUUUUGCUAAUCUUAUUAUGGAAUUUUACUUAUUCGAAAUGCUAAAACCUGUUUAUCUUUCUUGAAUGCUUAUCAGAAAUGAAGCGGAGCUCAUACAAUGCAUAGUAAAGGAAUUAUCAAUUCAUCUCAACCGAACGCCUUUACAUGUCGCUAAGUAUCCAGUCGGAAUAGAUUCCCAAGUUGAAAAACUUAUAUCAUUGUCAAAUAAAGAGUCCGAUGAUGAUGAUGAUGUUCUCAUGAUAGGUCUAUGGGGACCUGGAGGCAUAGGGAAGACAACAAUUGCCAAGGCCCUGUUUAAUGCUAUUGAGAGACAAUUUCAUGGUUGUAGUUUUUUGGCGCGAGUUAGAGAAACUUCGAACUCAAGUGGUGGUCUAGUUGCUUUGCAAAAAAAACUUAUGUCUGACAUCUUAUCUCAACGAGAUUUAAUGGUUGAUAGUGUCGAUGGAGGAAUUAAUUUGAUACAGGAAAGACUAUGUUGUAGGAAAGUUCUCCUGGUUCUUGACGACGUUGACCAGUUGAAUCAAUUGAAUGCGUUAGCUGGAGAAGGCAAGUGGUUUGGUAAAGGAAGUAGAAUCAUUGUUACAUCAAGAGAUAAACAUUUGCUAACUUCUCAUAGUAGACAUUUUGUAUAUGAAGUUCGGACUUUAGAAUUCAAUGAAGCACUAGACCUUUUUUAUCGGCAUGCUUUCCCAAAUAGCAAGAGAGUUGAAAUAAGAUGGGAUCUCAUAUAUAGAGCAGUGCAAUAUGCUAACCGCCUUCCAUUAGCCCUUGAAGUGUUAGGCUCAUUCUUACGUGGGAGAGAGGAAUCUGCAUGGGAAAGUACAUUACAUAAACUCUCCAAAAUUCCUGAACAAAUUAUUAAUCAAGUUCUCAAGAUAAGCUUUGAUGGAUUGGAGCACAACGAGAGGGAGAUUUUCCUGGAUAUUGCUUGUUUCUUUAAGGGGAAGAGCAUGAUGUAUAUUAAGGAAGUUCUCAAUAGCUGUGAUUUCAGCACAACCAUAGGAAUAGAAAUUCUCAUAGAGAGGUCCUUGAUAAAAAAUGAGUAUGGGUUCCUACAAAUGCAUGAUUUGAUUCAGUUGAUGGGUAAGGAUAUUGUUAACCAGGAAUGUCGUGAUGAUCCCAGAAAGCACAGUAGACUAUGGCUUUUUGAAGAUGUUUUGGACAUUCUAAGUAGUGAUAAGGUAAAGGUUGUGUAUGUCAAUUAUGCUACAUAUUAGUUCUUACAUUAAUCUCGUUUGAACAGUAUAAUGUAAAUCUAAAUGGAAAUUUUGUGUGGCAACUGAAUUUGCUUUGUUAUGGACAGGAAAUGAAUGCAGUAAAGGCCAUAGUAUUGGAAUUGCCUACAUCAGAAGAGAUAACUAUUAGUCCUAAUGCUUUCACAAACAUGAAAAUGUUGAGAGUGCUCAUUUUGCUUGGAGUGCAUAUCUCUUCACAAGGUCCUAUAAGUCUCCCUGAGGAGCUAAGAUGGCUUGAAUGGGCCAAUGCCCCGGAUCUAGAAUAUGGCUUGAAACUUGUUAGACUUGAUGUCAAGAAAAGUCAUAUCAAACAAUUAGGAAGCAACUUUCAGGUAAGCCCUUGUGAUGACUAGUUUUCACUUUUUAUAGUUAUAAAUAUUGGCAAAGCUCAAUGACUGCACUAAAAUCUUUUUGCAGAAUUUUAGAAAGUUGAAGUCCAUCAGUUUCAAGGAAUGCAUGUCCCUAACCGGUGUUCCUGACUUAUCAUCAGCUCCAAAUCUAGAGAGCUUGGAACUUGAUAGGUGCAAAAGCUUGGUGGAGGUACACCAAUCCAUCGGAUAUCUUGACAAGUUAAAAUAUUUGUCACUACGAUGGUGCUUUAAUCUUAGUAUAUUUCUUGGUACACUCAAGACAAAAUCACUUCAAGACCUUCGUCUCUCUGGUUGUUCUAAACUUGAGAAGUUCCCCUAUAUUUUGGGAAGGAUGGAACAUUUAGAAAAUCUUGAGUUACAAGGGACAGCUAUUAAAGAACUCCCUGUAUCAAUUGAAAAUCUGAUCUCUGUGAAGUGGGUAGAAUUAGGACAUUGCAAAAACCUCAUGAGGCUUCCAUCGAGCAUUUAUAAGUUGAAAAAACUCGAACGUCUGAGUCUUGAAGAGUGCUCGAAUUUUGUCAUGUUUCCAAAGAAUUUGGAGGAUUCAACUGAUCCUAAUGGCAAUUUGGGAUUCUCAAAUCUAGAGUGUCUAGAACUUGAUGGCUGCAAUUUAUUAAAAGUAGAGUUUCUUGACAGUUCUUCCAGUUUUCCCAAGUUGGCCUACCUAAGUCUAUCACCGACAAGCAUCAACAAGUAUAAUUAUCGGAAAGGCUGGUAUGUUGAUAAACGCAAGCAAUUACAAGAAUCAAAUAGGUGCAUCAUGGAAGUGAACAGUUGUAAUUUUCUACAGAAACUCCCAGAUUUGUUGAGUCUGCCCUCCGAUUGCCUUCAAGUUGACUUGAUUUCAUGUUGUGAAUGCAAAGGGGGCAAUAUGGCCGAUGUGUCCUCACUCGAGGUCAGACUCUCUCUCUCUCUCUCUCUCUCUCUCUCUCUCUCUCGCUAACUUUGAAUGCUUGAUAUGCGUACUGUGUGACCGAUGUGUCCUCACUCGAGGUCAGACUCUCUCUCUCUCUCUCUCUCUCUCUCUCUCUCUCUCUCGCUAACUUUGAAUGCUUGAUAUGCGUACUGUGUGACAGAGACUCCCAAAGAUGAUAAAAGUCGACAUUCUCCUCAGUGGAAGAGAGAUGCCAAAAUGGAUUCUCCAAUGUAAAGAUGGAUUCAUAUCUUUCAUGGUUCCUCGGGACUUGUACGACAAGUUCUUUGGAUUAGCAUUCUGUGUUGUUCUUGGCCUGGAGAAAGGAAAAGUGGUCAAUGAUAAAUGUCAGUUCCAAAUAUCUGUGAAUGGCAGAAGGGUGUUUGGGGAUUUAAGAAGCUUAUAUCAAUUAGAAUCCGAUCAUGUGUGGCUUUAUUAUCUCCCACGCAGUAAUCUUGGAUUAGAGAAGCUUAUGCAAAAUGAUUGGAGCCAUUUCCAAGUUUGCUUUGAAGCAUCGAAACUAAGCAUGAAGAAGUGCGGAUUCCGUCUAAUAUGCGAGCAAAAGGAGGAUGAUCUGAGGGUCCGUGCUCCAACACCAUCAGCUGAUAGAAAAAAAUUGGAGUUUCAAGGAAAGAGACUCAAAGGAAGACAAUUUUCAAUAGACACCGAGGAAGAAGAUAGUCCAGUGAAACAGAACUCAAUAAAGAAGAUGAGAUGGUUUUAACCAUGGCGAGAGUAUGGCUUGCAAAACAUGCCAGCUGAAUUGGUCACGAUUUGUUGAGGAAGUGAUUCUAGGUGAUUUUGAUUCCAAUGCCUCUUGCUUUACCCUUUUUUCGUCUCUACUGGAAAUUUGAAAAUGUCUGCUCCUUAGAUUAGAAUUCAAAAUCAAUUUGAAGUAGAGGUUUCGCAUCAUGCCUACCCAGAUGGUUGAGGAACUUCUUUUUUCGCUCUUUCUUUAUGAUCUGUGAUGCUGAGUACACUACUUCAAAAUUCAUCGGAUGCUUGUUGAAUGGCCAGUGUCUUCCAAGUUGCUUUGUGUAAUUUAUCAUGCGGACCUCUGUCACCUCUUAUAAUCUAAUUAAUGAUGCUAGCUAGCACUUUAUACUCUAAAAUUCUGAGAUAGCAAGUUUCGGUCAAUCUAAUAUAAUCUAUAUCUUUGGGAAAGCAUUGAUCUUAAUUGUCUCACAGAUCAGGAGGUCUAUACAAGGAAGAUUAGAAGGCUCCUCUGUUGUCUUUAUUCAGAUUGUAUUGAAUAGGUACAAAGGGAGAGCUUUAGCUUCAAGAUUUUGCAAUUAAGCAAAGGAAAUUGACUCAAAGGAAUAAAUCUUAAAGUGAAUAGUGUUUAACCCCUUGUGAAAAUACUUACUGCUAACGUUUCUUUAAUAAGAAAAAACAAAGAGAACAGAGGAACUUGCAGUUGCAUAUGAAAAGUCAGGCCGGGGCUACAACACUAGAACUGAUACCGACAUCAUGCGAUCCCAAUGCGCCCUGCGGUCGUGAGACCCCAUGCGGUGCGCCGUCGUUGUCACGAUGCGCAACUCCAUGGCCACACAAUAGGGAAGACAAUGCUUGAUCCUUGACAAGCUAGAUUUGACGUCAAGUGACCAACCCUUGGUCAAGCUUGCCGAUGUCGGAAAGCUGCACUGGUGUCUCCCGACCUUCUCGAAAAAGCAUCCCAGCCAUGAGGUACCAUGGUUUUCUCUUUGUCCCUAUCCAAGAUCGAGGGGGUAAAAUGAGAACAUCAAUAUAUUCGCAAGGGCAAGAUUAAAAAAAAAAAAACAUGAACAAGCAUGCCAAAGAUGUUAACCCCCAAGCUCUCGCUCGCCCUGAGCUUUGACCAUUUUCAAUGCAAAAUUUUUGCACCCAAAUAUUCGAAGACGUGUUCCAAAAUGCCAAAACUCUGGCUCAAGGGCUUUUGGAAAUUCAAAGCUGCUCGUCUCCCAUAUGUAGCUUGAGCGUCCUGGCUCGGUAAGGGCAGAAGUGUAAUUUCAUGAGUGCCAACUCAGUCGGCUCAUAAUUUGGGCCUCUUGACUCGGCCCCUUCCCCCGACAGAUAACACCUAAAAUUUUCUUCUGAAACCGAUCUUCGUGUCCGACGUCUUCCCGACUUUCUGAACCUUUUAGCCCUGAGAGCAAAAAUAGAAAUCUCGUUUUCUAGUUAUUUACUCUCUUUCUAAAUUUUGAAUUUUAACUUAUUCCACUUUAAAAUUUAAUAUGAACUUACAAUACUUUCUGAAUUGGUACUUUUUUAAGGCGAUCAAUAUUCACCGCUACAACCAUUUAAUAAUAGGAUUAAUCAAUCUUUUUUUUCAAUUUUUUUUUGUCAAGCUUGCACCCUUUUUAUAUAUAUAAUUUAAGAAUUAGGAGGUAAGAACAUAGUGAUUCAUGGUUCAACAAUUUACAUUAACCUCAAGAAAAAAAAUUAAACGUAGUUAUAAUUACUCUAAAUAUUAUUCUAUCAAAGAAAGAGCCAAUAAAUAAUCUCCAUACUAUAUAAGGAGUUGGCCGAUAUUGAUAAACAGUUAGGAGGACUAAAUAUUCAUUACCCUUAUUAAAAGGUUUACUUGUUUUCUUCUCUCAGAAUCAUACAAGUGUGAAAUAUUAUGUUUCCUUCAUUUAUACAAUAAAGAAUCCCUUAUACUGUGCACGCAAUUCAGGCUUUAUAUUUUAAUUUUUUUUAUUGUAUAAUUGAUGUACACAAAAUAUAAACACGUCUUUGUCUUUCUUCCUAUUUGGUAAAAAAAAAUCUUUACAAAAUAGCAUUUAUUAAUGUAAACACUUAAUUCGUGUGCUUUUUACACUAUAACUAUACUAAUACAACCACAAAAUAGAAUUUAUUGUAAAUUAUUAAUGUCUCUUAAAAAAAAAUAUAUCAAAUUGUUUACUCCAAGUAAUUUUACAAUGUUUUAUACCAAACAACGUAACUUUGCUAUCAAAAUACCUUCUCAUCUAUAGGGUUUACGAGGGUCUUCUAUAUAUGUAGUCUUUCUUUGUCUAAUAGCUUAAAUUUCUAGGUUGGACUAUUCAAUGUGAUAUCAAAGCCAAAUUCAAACCCAGUUUUUUUUUUGUAUAUGUGGCUCUCCAUCCAUCAAUUUCACCUAUCAUUUUAAGAUCGGUUUUGCACGCUAAAAGAGAUAUUAUAAUAUUAUACAUUGCUUGUUUACAUAAUUUACAUAAUUUAUACUUACCUUAUUAUCUCUUCACGAAUAGUGGCCAACAAAAAAAAAAUCAUAAUUAAGUGACUCCUACAAGGGCACGAUUACGUGUGAAAAAAGUUACUUUAACCUACUAUGAACUGAGAUGACAAAAACCAAUCAAAACAAAUGAUGUUGAUUAAGCUUUUUUAAGUCUAAAGUCCAAGUAUGCAAGGACUGACCUGGUUCAUUUUUUUUUAACAUAGUGAUCAAGAUAAUAUUUUUUACUUACUUAUAGUAGAUAGAAAUAAAAUCUAAUUUUAAUUCCCCCAAAAAGUUGACUGAGAUAGUGAGAGAUUGAUUCAUACGACAAAUCCUAUAUCUAAUUACAUACUCACCAUUUAGAAUAACUCUAAGGAUGCACACCCAUGAUCGACCCAUUGGCAGAUCAUGGGCAUGCAUCUCCCAAGCUUAUGGGGGUUCAUGUCCCAAGGUUAAAUAACAAGACAUUAUAUAUUCUUUCCCCAACUAAACAUCGUGUUUAGCUUAUGGGGAUUCAUGUCCCGAGACUUAAUAAUGACACAAUGUUUAUUUUUUGCCCGACUUGUAUCGAGUUUUUCAUCUCCCAUACUUUUUCUUGGAUGCUUUCGAUACUUGGUUGUUUACUUUAAAAAGCCAUUUCAAUAGCCUAUAUGUUAAUUUCCUUUCUAGAAUCCUAAGACUAGAACAAUUUUUUAGGUGUCAACUAAAACUCAGAUAUCAAUACUAAUGUAGACAAUUUUUAAAUUUUAAAUUUUAUUUUUAUUUUCUUCACAUGGCCAACAAGACCGUUAACCCCCUCACUAGGCAUGGGGGAGGGUUUGUUGUUUCACAAAAAUAAUAUUUACAAUAUACAAAAAUCGAGAUUAGGUGAAACUUAAAUAUGAAUGUGCCAUAUGAUAUUGAACUUCAACUUAUUAGUACUGGGCUCAAUAGUUUUACAAAUCCAAUUGAGUUAUUCUUGUUGUAAAUUAUUUAUAUGAAAUUUCAAGCCCAGUCCCCUUAUAUUUCAACAUAAUAAAAUUAAAUCCAAGCGCAACUUUUGAAUACAUCAAUUUUCUUUUUCAAUUGAGUUCAAGUAAGAAAUUCAAUUCUCGAUCAAGCUAAGCUCGAGUGAAGUUUCAAGCAAUCAAAAUACGUGAGUCGAGCUUGACAGUGCAUUAGCUCAUCUCAACGUGGCUAUCCUUUAUUUCGAGGACUAGACCUAGGACGCUAGCGCUUAGACUUGAUACCUCAGAGGUAGGUUGCGCAUCCUUGCGCGUGGAUUCAGACACACCAACCGAGCACGUUAUCACGUGGGCCAGUGGUACCUUUUGUCUUCGAGUCCUUGGCCGAUUCUUCAUCGUUCCAGAUUCGUUGGUCGAUUGCCACGUGUUCUGGUGGAUCCUACGCUUCAGAAACUUCCGUUCUUUCUGCUUCCCUGGCUUUCUCUCUCUUCUCACUUUCUUCUUCCUCCUCCUCCGUACUUCUUCAAAACAAGAGUCAACUCAGAACCGCCUGGCAGCCACAAUCCAAGAUCUCUCUUCUCGCCCGACACCGUAAGGCCGUUCGAUCCAUCGUCGUUGCGGGUCAGCUUCAUUUACCUUUGCACAUCUAUGGCUUUCCGCCGAUCCUGACGUCCAUCUCGUCCUCCACAUCCUCGCCGCCGCGCGUUCCUUCCUCGUCAAGCAGCAUAUUUAUCUGAAAUCGAAAGCUGAAAACGAUUUCACGAGCCAAAUUACCCUGAGCCCGGUCCAAUAUUUUCCUGAGAAUGGAACAGGCUGAGAGCGCUUGUUUUUUUAAAGCGAGAAAGAGCCAGAGCCAGAGCAAAGGGAAGAGAUCGUCGACUUCGCUGCCGAUCGGGGAAGGGCAACGCCGGGUCAGAGGCCGCCCAGCGUCUCCGAGAGCAAAGCCGACUCUGCUUCAGCCUUCAGCCCUUGAUUUUCGUAGCAAGACUCUCUGUUCCGGUGCUCGGCAUUCUAGGGAAGCACAUGUACCAUCAGCUAAUCUAAUGGCUGCUUCUUCGAAUAUGAAAAGGAAUUACCAUGUGUUCCUCAGUUUCAGAGGAACAGAUGUCCGCCAAGGCUUCCUCAGUCAUCUCUACGCGGCUCUGGACCAGCAAGGAAUAUACACUUUUGUGGAUAGCGAGAAGCUUAGGAAAGGAGAGGAAAUAUCGCCGACGCUCAUGAGGGCGAUCGAGGAAUCGCGCAUCGCGAUCAUCGUUUUCUCAGAGGGCUACGCCUCCUCGCCGUGGUGUUUGGAAGAGGCUGUGAAAAUCAUGGAGUGCAAGGAGCGAAAUGGCCUGAUUGUGUUCCCUGUGUUUUACAAAGUGGAACCAAGAGAAGUAAGAGGAGGGAGAGAGAGUUAUGGGAGAGCUAUGGCUAAGCAUGAGUCCAAAUUCGGUAAGGAUUCGAAGAAAGUGAAGAGAUGGAAAAAGGGUCUCUUUGAAGCCGGUAACUUGUCUGGGUGGGAGUUGAAUGACAGGUACACACAAAUGUGACAUGGUGUUUCGUGAUUGUUAGCUUGUGAUUGUUUGUUAGAUAUCAAAUUGUAUGCUCUUUUUUGGAUCUUCGAAUUGAAGAUACAAAGUGGAGAUAAAUUAGACAGUAGACACAUAAUCAAAUAACCAAAGCUCGUAGAUUCUUUGAAUUGAUUCUUGCUUUGUGGAUAAUGAGAAAUUUAUCAAACAUAAAUAGUGAUUCAUAGUGCCUUAGUCAUUAUUGUCUUCAGAUUCAGGUUCUUUGUAAUUUUCCUUGCGUAGAUGAUGGCGCAGGUUCACCCACCUUUCGUCUUAUUAUUUGCUAAUCUUCUUAUGAAAUUUUCCUUAUCACGUUAGAGGUUGAAUUCCUGCUAUGGCUUUGAAAUGCUAAAACGGGUUUUUCUUUCUUGGAGUGCUUAUCAGAGAUGAAGCGGAUCUCAUACUAUGCAUUGUAAAGGAAUUAUUGAUUCGUCUCAACCGAAAAUCUUUACAUGUCGCUAAGUAUCCGGUUGGAAUAGAUUUCCGAGUUCAAGGACUGUCAUGCUUGUCACAGAAAGAGUCGGCUGAUGAUGAUGUUCUGAUGAUAGGUCUAUGGGGACCUGGAGGCAUAGGGAAGACAACAAUUGCCAAGGCCCUAUAUAAUGCAAUGAUGAGACAAUUUCAGGUUUGUUGUUUUUUGGAGCAAGUUAGAGAAAAAUCAAACCGAAGCGAUGGUCUUGUUACUUUACAAAAGGAUCUUCUAUCUGAGAUCCUGGUUCAUCCUUUAACGGUCUACAGUGUCGCUGGAGGAAUUAGUUUGAUACAAGAAAGACUAUAUUGCAAGAAUGUUCUCCUGGUUCUUGAUGAUGUUGACCAUAUGAGUCAACUGAAUGCAUUAGCUGGAAAAAGCAAUUGGUUUGGAAAAGGAAGUAGAAUCAUUGUUACAUCAAGAGAUAAACAAUUGCUGACUUCUCAUGGCAUAAAUUGUGUGUAUGAAAUUCAAACUUUAGGAUGCCAUGAAGCACAAUAUCUUUUUAGUCUGUAUGCUUUCCCAAAUAGCAAGAGUGUUGAAAUAAGAAGGGAUCUCAUAGAUAAAGCACUGCAUUAUGCCGACAGACUUCCAUUAGCCCUGGAAGUGUUGGGCUCAUUCUUACGUGGAAGAAAGGAACCUGCAUGGGAAAGUACAUUGCAUAAACUCUCCAAAAUUCCUGAACCAACUAUCAAUCGAGUUCUCAAGAUAAGCUUCGAUGGAUUGGAGAACAACGAGAGGGAGAUUUUCCUCGAUAUUGCUUGUUUCUUUAAGGGGAAAAAUAUAGAGUACAUCAAGGAAGUUCUUGACAGCUGUGAUUUUCACACAGCCAUAGGAAUAUAUAUUCUCAUGGAAAGGUCCUUGAUAAAAAACCAGGAUGAGACCUUGGAAAUGCAUGAUUUGAUUCAGUCAAUGGGUCGGGAUAUUGUUAAUGAAGCAUGCCGUGAUGAUCCUGGGAAACGCAGCAGAUUAUGGCUUUUGGAAGAUGUUGAGGACAUUUUUUGUUAUAAUACGGUAAAAGUUGUUUAUGUCAGUUUUGCUACAUUUCAGUUUACAUUACUCUAAUUCAGACGGUAUAAUGUAAAUCUUAACUUGAAAUUUUGUCUAACAACUGAAUUUGCCCUGUUAUGGAUAGGGGACGGAUGCAGUAAAGGCUAUAGUAUUGGAAAGGUCCCCACCAGAAGCAAUAAUCAUCAGUCCUGAUGCUUUCACAAAUAUGAAAAGGUUGAGAAUACUCAUUUUGCAUGGAGGGCGUAUCUCUUCACAGGCUCAAGUACGUCUCCCUAACGAGCUAAGAUGGCUUGAAUGGUCCAAUGCCCCGAAUCUAGAAUUUGGCUCUGGUCCAAAUAAACUCGUGAGUCUCGAUGUCCGGAAAAGUCAUAUCAAACAAUUAAUGGGCAACUUUCAGGUAAGCACUUGCGAUGAUUAGCUUUUCCUUUUUUAUAGCUAUAAACAUAUUUGCAGAGCUUAAUGACUACACUAGUAUGUUUUUGCAGAAUUUUAGGAAGCUGAAGUCCAUCGAUCUCUAUGAAUGCAAGUCCUUGGUUAGUAUUCCUGAUCUGUCAUCGGCUCCAAAUAUGGAGAAAUUGAUUCUUAAUGGGUGUGAGAGCUUGGUGGAGGUCCACCCAUCCGUUGGAAAUCUCAAAUGGCCAUGGCAUAUGGACGUCUUUAUUGAAGUAACAAAUCAAAUAGCAAAAUAUAGCAUGGUCAUAGUGUAAAAUCUUUUAUAAAUCAGUAUGAUGAUAACACAUCAAACAGAUUAUCCACGAGCUGAUCAUUUUGGGAUUUAUUCAAUUUUUGUGUGUGUCUAUACAUAUACAUGUGUAUAUAUAUAUAUAUAUAUCUUCUAUGGUUAAAUGAUGAUAUAUCUCUAUAGUAUCACUCUAGUUAUACUAUAGAAAGUAUCACUAAAAUAUGUGUGCUUCACUCAUUCAGUUCUCUGUUUUUUCUUUAAUCUGUUCAUUGGGGGGUGAUGACUUGAGAUGAGAAUUUCUUUUUUCAAUUUUUCAUUUUUUGAUUCGUACUUUCUUAGUUGUCUUAAUAGUUAAACUCAUUAUUUACCUUUUUUUUUUGCCAACAUCAUUUUAUUUUUUAUCUUUUAAUUUAUAUAUGAUUUUUUAUUAUUAAAAAGUCAUGUAAGCAUACCAUGCAAAUAUUGUUAAUCCUGUCAACUACCACAGAGGAUGUCUAUUGUCAAAAUUGGAGGAAAUUGCAAAGGAAGGUAAAAUUGGGACAAUGGUACAGCUUUGACAGUUUUUACUUGUCCUAAGAUAAUUUGUGGUAAAUAUGUUUAAGUCAUAACAAUUUAAGAUUUUUUAUGAUUUAACUCUAAUAUAUAGAUGUAUUAUCUCUUUCCAUUUUCUCCUCUUGCGGAGUCUUGAGUUCCAUUUCAUUUGGCAAGUGAAAAUGCUAAGUAAUUUUCUUGGAGAACAUUGGUUAAGUCAAGUUCGUAUUAGGGAUUGCGUUUUACUUUAUUUGUUGCGCGCUAAAGUUCACACUCUCUCUCUUUCUGUCCCAUUAGCGACCCUUCGUUUAAGUCUGGAUAACCCCAGGUGGUCGUCUAUUCAGGGGAGGACGAGGAAAGUUCUGAAAGGAUCAUUUUCGAAUAUUGGCUCCGAUAGUUAUUUCCUGUUGGGGGGGCGGGGGGCGAAAGGAUCAUUAUAGUUCCGCGGUUUACGCAAAAGGAAGACGAAAGUCAAAAAGAAACGGACAAAUAGAUAUGGACCUUAGCAGAAUCUCUACUUUACCUUGUCUGUGAUCGUACGUGUGAGCUCCCGAAACAAAAAAGAGACCCCCCGGCACUGAGUGGAAUCUGAUACUUUCUUUGGCCUUUGUUCCAUUGCGUAACUCAUACUCCACGAAAAAAGUGAUAUAAAUAGAUGAGAUUGGAAACUCCAUCGGACGGUAGACAUUCUUGACGCAAAUCAUUCAUUAGCUCUUUCAAUGGCUUCUUCUUCUUUGAAUCCAAAAAAAUAUUAUCAUGUGUUCUUAAGUUUCAGAGGUCUGGAUGUUCGCAAGAGCUUCCUCAGUCAUCUCUACACAGCUUUGGACCAGAAUGGAUUAAACAUUUUUAUGGAUGAUGAGGAGCUUAGGAAAGGAGAGGAAAUAUGCCCAGCGCUCAUGAGGGCAAUUGAGGAUUCGCGCGUCGCAAUCAUCGUUUUCUCUGAGAACUACGCUUCCUCACGGUGGUGUUUGGAAGAGCUCUUGAAAAUCAUGGAGUGCAAGGAGCAAAACGGCCUGAUGGUGUUCCCAGUGUUUUACAAAGUGGAACCAAGAGAAGUGAGGGAGGGGAGAGAGAUUUAUAAGACAGCUAUGGAUAACCAUGAGUCCAAGUUCGGGAAGGAUUUAGAGAAAGUGAAGAGAUGGAAGAGGGCUCUCCUUGAUGCUGGUAACUUGUCGGGGUGGGGCUUCAGUGACAGGUACGCACAAAUGUGAUGCAGUGCUUUGCGAUUGUUAGCUCUGAUUGUUUGUUAGAUAUCAAAUCGUAUGUAUAGCUUUGAAUUGGCGAAACGAUGCAUCAAGUUCUUUGAAUUCACAGUAGACACAAAAGUCAAAAGACCAAAAUUUGAAGCUAGCAGAAAUUUUAGUCUUAGAUAAGUAGUGUGGUUCCUAGGACCCGAGUAAUGAGUGUCUUCAGGUGCAGAUUCUUUGUAAUUUUCCUUCCGCAGAUGUUGGCGCAGUUAUGUGUUAUUUCUUUUCAUCUUAUUAUUUGUUAAUCUCCUUAUGAAAUUUUCCUUAUGACGUUGGACGUUGAAUUUCUGCCAUGGCUUGAAAUGGUAAAACAUGUUUCUGUUUCUUUUGAGUGCUCAUCAGAAAUGUAACAAAUGAAGCGGAGCUCAUAGAAUUCAUCGUCAAGGAAUUAUCGAUUCGUCUCAGACCACGAUCCUUGUAUGUCGCUAAGUAUCCAGUUGAUAUAGAAUCCCGAGUUCAAAAACUGAUAAGUUUGUCAGCGUCAGCUGGUAGUGAUGUCAUGAUGAUAGGUCUAUGGGGACCUGGUGGCAUGGGGAAGACGACGAUUGCUAAGGCCCUAUAUAAUGCUAUAGAGAUGGAAUUUCAUGGUUGUAGUUUUUUGGCGCAAGUUAGAGAAAUAUCGAACCAAAGCAAUGGUUGUGUUGCUUUGCAAAAGCAACUUCUAUCUGAGAUCUUACCUCAUAAAGAUCAAACGGUCUACAAUGUCGACGGAGGAAUUAGUUUGAUACAAGAAAGACUAUGUCGCAAGAAGGUUCUCCUCAUUCUUGAUGAUGUUGACCAUAGAGAUCAACUGAACGCAUUAGCUGGAAAAGACAGUUGGUUUGCAAAAGGAAGUAGAAUCAUUGUUACAACAAGAAAUAAACAAUUGCUGACUUCUCAUGGCAUAAACUGUGUAUUUAAAAUUCAAGCUUUAGGAUACUGUGAAGCACGAGACCUUUUUCGUCUGCAUGCUUUCCUAGAUAGCGAGAGUGUUGAAAUGAGAAGGGAUCUCAUAAAUAGAGCAGUGAAUUAUUGUGACGGCCUUCCGUUAGCCCUCGAAGUGUUGGGCUCAUUCUUUUGCGGGAAAAAUGAAGAUGCAUGGGAAAGUGAACUGCAAAAACUCUCCAAAAUUCCUAACCUAGAUAUUAAUCAAGUUCUUGAGACAAGCUUUGAUGGAUUGGGGCCUAACGAGAGGGAGAUUUUCCUCGAUAUUGCUUGUUUCUUUAUGGGAAAGCAAAUAGACUACAUCAAGGCAGUUCUUGACAGUUGUGGUUUCUUCACAACUAUAGGAAUAGAAAUUCUCAUCGACAGGUCGUUGAUAAAAAAAGAGGAGGAUGGAACAGUGCAAAUGCAUGAUUUGAUUCAAUUGAUGGGUAAGAAUAUUGUUAUUCAGGAAUGGCCUGAUGAUCUUGGGAAACGUAGUAGAUUAUGGUUUUACGAAGAUGUUGAGAACGUUCUCUAUGAAGAUAAGGUAAAGGUUGUUCAUGUCCAUUUUGCUGCAUCUUAGUUUUUUACAUUAUUCUAAUUCAGAGAGUCACAUGUAAAUCUCAACAAAAAAUUUUCUCUGACGACUGAAUUUGCUAUGUUAUAUGCAUAGGGAGAGAAUGCAGUAAAGGCCAUAGUAUUGAACUUGCCCGCACCAGAAGAGAUGACCAUUAGUCCCGGUGCAUUUGCAAACAUGAAAAGGUUGAGAAUGCUCAUCUUGCCUGAGGUGCAUAUCUCUUCACAAGGUCCUGUACGCCUCCCUAAUCAGCUAGUUUGGCUUGAAUGGCCCAAUUCCCCGGACCUAGAAUUUGGUCCUGGUCCAAAGAAACUUGGGAGACUUCAUUUCCGGAACAGUCUUAUCAAACAAUUAGUAGGCAACUAUACGGUAAGCCCUUGUGAUGAUCAGCUUUCCGUUUUCAAAGCUGUGAAAACAAAUGACUGCACCAGUAUGUUUUUGCAGAAAUUUAUACGUUUGAAGUCCAUCGAGCUCUUGGAUUGCAAGUCCCUGGCUAGUGUUCCUGACCUUUCAUCGGCUCCACUUCUUGAGAGCUUAUAUCUUUUAAUGUGUGAGAGCUUGGUGGAGGUUCACCAAUCCGUCGGAGAUCUUGACAAGUUAAAACUUUUGACGAUAUCAAGGUGCUCCAAUCUUAGGAUGUUUCCAAAAACACUCAGGACGAAGUCUCUUCAAAUACUUAAUCUCUCUAAUUGCUAUAAACUCGAGAAAUGCCCUGAUAUUCUGGGAAAGAUGGAACAUCUAGAACGUUUUGAUUUAGGAGGGACAGCUAUUAAAGAAGUCCCCGCAUCAAUUGAAAAUCUUGUCUUUGUAAGGACAAUAGAUUUAGGAUAUUGCCAAAACCUCACAAGGCUUCCAUCGAGCAUUCAUAAGUUGAAAAAUCUUCGAUCUCUGAUUCUUUACAACUGCUCGAAUCUUGCCAUGUUUCCAAAGAACUUGGAGGAUUCAAUUGAUCCUGAUGGCAAUUUGGGAUUCCCAAGUCUAAGUUCCCUAGACCUUCAUGACUGUAAUCUAUCGGAGGCAGAGUUCCUUGAGAAUGCUUCCAGUUGUCCUAUAUUGACGCAUCUAAAUCUUUCAAAUAACAAAUUUACUCAUUUGCCGACAUGCAUCAACAAUUAUGAUUAUUGGAAAGACUUGUUUGUUUAUAGAUGCAAGCAAAGCAAAGGGGUCAGUGGAGCUGAUGGGUCAUCACCCGAGGUCUCUCUCUCUCUCUCUCUCUCUCUCUCUCUCUCUCUCUCUCUCUCUCUCUCUCUCUCUCUCUCUCACGUUUGGAAUGUUUGAUAUGUGUACUAUCUGUAUGACAGGUAGUUGAGAUUGUUGCAAGUGGAAAAGAGAUGCCUGAAUGGAUUCUCCAUUGUGAAGAGGACUCCAUAUCUUUUAUGGUUCCCCCAAACUGGUGGGACAAGGCCUUAGGACUAGCACUCUGCGUUACUUUUGAUCAGGAUAAAGAAGACCCGUUCGGAAAUGCAUUUCAGUUCAGUAUAUUUGAUGACGGCAUAAGAGCGUUUGGCCGUUCGAUAUUUGCUUGUCCGUCAACUUCUGAUCUUGUAAGUCUUGUAUAUAUCCCAAGCAACAGAAUGAGAGAAGAGAAGCUUCUGCAAAAUGAUUGGAUCCAUGUCCAAGUUUGCUUCAGAAGACUGAUAGGAAGAAUAAAGAAGCGUGGAUUCCGUCUAAUAUGUGAGCAACAGGAGGAUGAUCUGAGGGUCGGUUUUCCAACGCGGUCAGGCGAUGGAAACAAAUUGGAGUUUCAAGGAAAGAUACCCAAAGAAAGACAAUUCAGAGUCACUGAGGAAGAAGAUUGUCCAGUGGAAAAGAACUCAACAAAGAAGAUGAGACGGUCUUAACAAUGGCGAGAGUAUGGGUUCAACUCGCACCAAUUGUUGAGGUAGCGAUUCUUGGGGAUGCGAACUGGGUGAUCUUGAUUCCAAUGCCUCUUGCUUUUCCCUGCUUUUUUCUCGUCUCCACUAGAAAGUCGCAAAUGUCUGCCCCUUCAGUGUCAAUUAUAAAAUCAUGCCUCUUGCUUUUCCCCGUUUUGUCUCGUCUCUACUAAGAAAUUUGCAAACUGCUCCUUCAAUUAGAAUUCGCAUAAUGCUACUGACAUGGUUGAGGAACAUUUUAUGUCCACCUCGUUCUCUAUGAUCUGCGAUGCAAAGUGCACCAAUCCAAUAUUAAGUGGAAUGCUUGCUGAAUGGUCAUGGUCUUCCAAGUUCAAUGAAACAUAUCACAUCGAACUCCGUCACCUCUCUUAAUACAAAUAUAUUUUGUUUUUUUAAUUUAAUAAAAGUCAUUUACAAAUGUAAAUUUUACCAAACGGUAUUUUGGCAAAAGUUGUUUUUCAAUGCAAAUUUUACCAAACUUUAUUUGUAUUUCGGAAGACCCCCUUCAUCCAAAGGUAUUUGCAUUUCUACAAAUGCAUUCCUCAAAAACCGAACCAAACGGGCCCUAAGACUUUGCGUAUAAGCAAAGGGUAUUGACUUGAAAGAUUUUCAUGAAAAGCGAAUGGUGUUUGACAAAUGCCUUGUAAAAUAUUUAUUACAGAACAAAUUUUAGUAUAGAGAAGAAAAAUAAGGAAAAAAAUAGAGAAGGAAGGAACUUGCAGUUAUAUAUGAAAGCACAAGCGGGGGCGACACAACAGUUGGACCAGUGCCGAUAGUGUGCAACCCUAGGCAACGCGCCUCUAAAGUUGAGCAAACCUGGCAACGCAACACCGAGGUCGAGUGAAACUAAGCGACACAACACUAGUGUAACGCAACCCCAAGUGGUAGAAUGCCGGGGCCACACUACUAGGCAACGCGACGCUUGACCCUCAGCAAGCUAAAUCUGGCAUCAAGCGACCCUCGCAAAGCUCCUCGACGUUGCGUGACCCUCGGCAAAGCUUAACCAAUGUCAUUCAACACUCGGCAAAGCUGUACCAGCGUCCCUGGGGCCCUCUUCAAAGCUUCCCGGCCAUGAUCAACCACAUCUUUCUCUCUCCUAUCCAAGAUUGAGGGGUAAAAUAUGAUUGCAAAUAUAUUAGUGAUGGUGAGAUUGGAAGAAAAAAAACUUUAUUAAACCCCUAAACUUGCAUGUCAAAAAUGCUAAAGCCCAUACUCAGAGGUUUACCCUGAACUUUGUGCGUUUUCAAAGCAAAACUUUGGAUCAAAAUCUUUGAAAUUGGGUUAUCAAACAUCAAAUCCUUGGCUCAAGGCCCCUUGAAGGUCCAAAAUAGCUUAAUUCAAGAUGACUGAGCACUCAAAUUUUAGUAUAGUCAAAUUUAAAUUGCAAAUCCAUGUUUAUGCGAGGUAUGGUCUUGGGAGAGAUUUAUGAUUGAGGGUCCGUUUGCGGUGUUAUCGAGUUAAGGUCCAUUCGAGACUUUAGCUUGUAUGUACCAUUUGGUCGCAACACUUAUUUCAAAAACAUUGUUGGCGGUUUAAGAUAUCUGGCUUCUAUUAAGCAAUAUAUUACUUAUGCCUUUACCAAAAAAAAAAUAUAUUACUUAUGGUGUGGGAAUUAUUGGUAGGUUCAUGGGGAAGUCAUACCAAUCUCAUUUAUAGGCAACAAAAAGAAUUUUAUGGUAAGUGGAACUUGUAAUCAUGGAGUUUAUGUUCUUGUACUAACAAUUUCAAUCUAGUGGUGUAUACAAAUAAUGAUUGGGAUGGUGAUAUCGAAACUCAAAAAAGCACUUGUAAAUAUGCUUUCUUUCGUGGAUCACAAAUAAUCUCUUGGUCCUCUUAAAAACAGGUUGUUAUACUCUUGACUACUAAAGCAGAAUACAUAAUAUUAGUUGCAGUGGCAUGUCAAACAAUGACUUCGGAGAAUAUUGUGUGAAUUAAUGCAUGAACAAAAGGCCCACCAAGCAAACACAGUGCCAUCAAGUAUUACUAUAUUCAUGGGUGUGUCAAAAAUGGUGAAAUCGAGCUUAAUUUCUACAAAUUAGAAGAUCAAGUUGAAGAUAUUUUGACGAAACUAUUAAAAGUGGAUUCUUUCAAAAAAUUAUGGACCAUUUUUGGUGUUGGUGAUUUCCAAAUUCAAUUUUAAGACUAUCAGAAUGAUAUAAAAUUGAUUGUUAGAUCGUUGAAAAUUUGAACACGUCACUUGUUGGUUUCUAUAUAGACUGCUAGUGUUCUUCAAGAAGGUUGCAAGCAUUUUAUCAAGAAGAGCCAUUAAUGACUUCAGGAUGGCUGUUUAUCUAUAUAUGCAAACAAAAUAAGCGGUUUGUUUUUUUUUUUUUCAUUAAAUGGUGUGUGGACUGUUUUGUUUUCUUCAAUAAAUGUUAUUGACAUUUGUGCUUAAUUUGUGUGCAUUUGGCUUCUAUAUAAAGAUCUGAAGUUAAAAAAUUGUUAGUAUGAAAUCACAUAAAGAAAGCAUUCUAAAUAAGAAGUUCUCCUCAUCUUGUCUAUAUUAUUUAUUUGGUUCCAACAAAGUGUUGAUCAAAUUAUCUCAAAGAUGAAAAGGUCUAUACGGGAAGAUUAGUUGAUUUCUCUCGUUACAACUUAGACUUUGCAAGUGAGAAAAAGACAUUGACUCGAAAGGAUUUGCAUAAAAGAAAAUAGUGGUCGGUAAAUAAUGUGCAAUAAACUUAUUGCAAAGCAAUUUCUAAAAUAAGAAAAAAAAAAAGGGAAAAUGAAGAAAUUUGCAGUUGUAUAUGAAAGUUCAGGCAGGUGGCACAAUCAUAUCACCGGCAUUGACGUCGCGCGACCCUAGGGAACAUGCUGCCGAGGUCGGGCACACCCUGGUGGCGCAACAUUAGGGCCACGGACUAGGCGAUGCGACGCUCGACCAUUGGUGAGCUAGAUGGCAUUGAGCGACCCUCAACAAAGCUUGGCGAUGUCUCCCCAGUCAUCGGCAAAGCUACGCUGGGGUCCCUUGAUUUUUUCCGCGAAGCUUCCCAGCCACAAUCCACCACGGCUUUCUCUAUUUCCAUCCAGGAUUGAAGGGUAAUAUAGGAAUAGUAAUAUGUUAGUGACAGCAAGAUUGGAAGAAAAAAAAAACCAUGCCUCGAACUUGGAGCAUUUUCAAAGCAAAAUUUUGCACAAAGUAUUUAAAAUUAUACUAUAAAAAACAAAAUUUCGGGUCAAGGGCCUUCAGAGGCCCUCGUAAAUGCUCUCUCAAACACUGCAGCAUAUUGGCUUUAUAAGAGCAAUGCAAUUUUAUGAGUGCCAACUGAACCCAUAUACUUUGUCAAGAAGUCUUUACCAAAUAUAAUUUGCAUGUCCCUAAAAAGCUUUAAACUUUUAGUAUUUGUAUUUUUCCAAAGCUCAUUUCCAAAAUCGAACCAAAGGCAGCUUUAGUUGGCUCAGCAUUUGGACCUCUUGAGUCAGCCCCACCCCAACAAAUCACCACUGUCCAUCAUACCCUGCCUAUCGGCACGGAGUAACCGAGAUGCAUUUCAGUCUCAUUUUGUACUUUCGCUCCACACCCAUCGACUCAUCUCUCUCUUAAGGCCGCAUAGCAUCUCCCCGUUCUUGGGGCCACUACAUAUCAUCUUCAAAAAGAAAACUCAAGGGAUUUAUUUUCACUCUAAUUUGUUCUUAAGGCUCAAUUCCUUUCACAAAAAAUAAUUUAUAGAAAAACGUUUUUUGGAUUUUCCAAAGGGAAAAAAGUUCUCUAACGUUGGGAAAAAUAUUUUUCACUUUUGAGAAAGAGAAAAAUCUAUUCAAUUCCUUCUUUCACCUCACUUUCCUUUAUCAAAUAAUUUUUUCCUUUUAUUAUUUUUAUUUUUUUAAUUGUUUUUAUUCUUUCAUUUUUUUCCUUUUUUUUAAAAUUUUUUUCCACCUAGGCAGGGCUUGAGCCUCACCAAAGGUUGCCAGACAUCAGCAAGCCUCUGGCAACUUCCGAUGAGGCUCGAGCCUCACCCAAAUCAUUGAAUCUGGCAAGCUCGAGCUCGUUGGUGUUAGGUGAGCUCGGCCUCACUGGCCUGUGGUGAGUCUCUAGCUCACCUUUUGCCAGUGGCCAACUGUUGUUGGGGCUAGUGACCGGCCAAUGAAGAAGAAAAGGAAAAGAAAAAAUUGAAAAAUCUAUUUUUAAGAAAAUAUAUAAUAAUAAUAAAAUUAUUGAAAUGAGUGCAUGAAGGAAAAGAUUUUCCCUACCAAACGGCGAAAAAUAUUGUCAAGUACAUUUUCAGGUUUCAAUCGAAGAACGGAAAAUAUGAUUAUUUUCCUGGAAAAUGGUUUGGCUUCCAGGAAAACAUUUUACAUUUUCCAGAAAAGUCAUAUUUUCCGCAAAAUGGAGUGUAAAUUAUAUGAAGAUCUCCCUUUUUUUACCACUACAAACUAAUUGAAAUAGAGCAGGCCAAAUACAUCAUGCAUUCACAAGAUCACGAGCGUGCCAUAUUGCAUAGACUAGUACUAAUGUUAUAGCACAAAAAACUAUGGUUUAAACUAAGUGAAAAUAUAGUCUAAACUUACCACGGAUUUGACACAAUCUAGAAACGCUUGGAAUAUUAUUGUAUAAGAAGAUCCAGUAAUUUGUUUAGCUUUUAGAAUCCAAGUUCUAAUAGGAUCACGUGAUAGCAUAUGUUUUCAUUAUUUAAUUAGUUAAUUUAACAUAUUUACCUAGGAGUACGGACAAAAAACGAAUUUAGGUAUGUUCCUUUCAAUUAUUAAGGUUCUCCAUGGUAAAAUAAUUCCUGACUUAUAGAAUGGUAUCUUUUGGCAACUGCUGCUCCAAAUAUUUUUCUCUUCCCUUUCCUUUUCCAUAUGGUGAAUUUUUAAGGGUUCUAUACUGCGGUAUGACUUUUUUUUUUUUUUUGGUCAAAGCGGUAUGACUUAUUGAGAUGUGAUUUUUUUACGGAAGAAUGGGUCAACUUCAUUCCUCAUAUGUAAAUUAAAUCCCCAUCGAAUUAUCAACCUUACCAAAACUAGAAAUCAUAUAAGCAAUCAUAAAUUAAACUCCGAACUUGUUUCUUAAUAAUGCGAUACAAGUGGAAUCAAUGUUAGGAGAUCACUUGGCGAAUUGAGAGCUGUCGAACUCAAAAUUUGCAUGAAAUACAGCAAAUCGAAAAAUAAAAUCAGAUAAUUUCCUUUUUUUAUUACAAUUUCAAAGCAUUACUAAACUUUAUUUGAGGAACCAUAAAAGAAAAUGGCACCCAAUCUACUACUGCAAAACCUAUCUGAAAUUAUUUGUCAGGAGGUAAAUAAGGCCAAAAAAAUCAUCUGGCAAUUAAUUAAUCUCUAGCUAAUCGUCAGGUAGAGUGGUCUUGAUUUCGCAUCUUGCAUCAAUGACAGAAACAUCCAUGACUUCUAGCAUCUUCAAUUAAGUUAGGAUGGGCUAGGCCUUGUACUAGACAAUGAUUUCUUGACAAUAUUUGUCAUUGUGUGGGUAUUAUGAAGGGGUUAUAAAAAUCAAAGAAAUGGGGGGAAAUGAAGAACGAAAAAGGAAUUCGUGAAUUUUUCACUUUUGAUUUUCGCAAAUUGUUUCCAUAGUUUUGAGGUUUCAGUAAAUAAUCCUCUUAAUUUGCUUUUUCAUUGGCAAUUUUAUGCAUAAUUUGUAGAAUAUAGGAUGGCGCAAUGGAUAUGUAUUAUUUUAUGUUUUUUCUUAUAGAGUAUUUUUUAAUAAGGAUCUUGGGUACCUGUCGUGAUCUCUUUUUUCGGCAUCCGAUUAGGGCGGGCGCCGACGGAGGCUAAUGGCUUGGUUAGGUCUCUUAGGCCCAACCCGGACUCUCCCAAGCCCACCAAUUCGCGACUUAUGGUUUGAGUCUUUAGUUUAUAGGUUAAUUUUAAAAAAGAGUCGCCACCAAUCAGUUUGAGGUGAGUCAUUUAGAAAUCCAAAAAAAAUAUUGAGAGAAAUAUUCGCUUUUGUGCAAUCAGAUAAAUUAGGAUCGGGGACUUGAUUACAUUAAUUAAUCACUAAUACUCUUUCGGUAUCUGAUCUUGUUUAAACCCUAAAACUUUUUGGAUUUUUAAGGGUUUUCUAUGCAUUUGUGGAGGAAAAACAUUUUUUUGACAUUUUUCUAUUUUUUAAACAUAAAAGGGAUUUUUGGAUUUUUUUUUUGGUCUUUUAUAAAUCAUUUUUUGGCUUUUUCUAACUUUUUUUUGGCUUUUUAAGGAAAAUAUGGGAUGUUUUUUAUUUUUUUGAUUUUCUGGAAAAUAAAUUAUUUUUUAUUAUUUUAUUAAAAUACUAAUUUUUAAUUAUAAAAAAAAGCGACCCGGGUCGGAUUCCCCGGUUGGGACCGACCCGGUUCACUGGCCCUCAGCCCGAAUGGCCGACCGCCGGCCCGGAGGGCCCUAGGCGUGGGCUCGGCCCAUACGCGACAGGGGCCGGUUGGCCCGGACAGACCAAAAACCCUACCCGGUUAUGACCCGCGUUCGACCUAACUCAGUAGCCGCGACCCGAAUCCUGAAAUCCAUACCCGGAUCCGACCCGCUUGAGGACAGACUUAAAAACCCUAGUGGCAGCUUUCGUCUUCUGAGUCCUUGGCCGAUUCUUCGUCGUUCCAGAUUCGUUUGUCGAUCACGUCGAUCUCGCCCUCCACACCCUCACCGCCGCGCAUAAGCAGCAUAUUUAUCUGAAAUCCAAAGCUGAAAACGUCUUCACGAGCCAAAUUACCCUGAGUCCGGUCCAAUAUUUUCCUGAGAAUGGAACAGGCUGAGAGCGCUUGUUUCUUUAACGCGAGAAAGAGCCAGAGCCAGAGCAAAGGAAAGAGAUCGUCGACUUCGCUGCCGAUCGGGGAAGGGCAACGCCGGGUCAGAGGCCGCCGAGCCUCUCCGAGAGCAAAGCCCACUCUGCUUCAGCCUUCAGCCCUUGAUUUUCGUAGCAAGACUCUCUCUUCCGAUGCUUGGCAUUCUAGGGAAGCACAUGUACCAUCAGCUCUUCUAAUGGCUGCUUCUUCGAAUAUGAAAAGGACCAGAUGUCCGCCACGGCUUCCUCAGUCAUCUCUACGCGGCUCUGGACCAGAAUGGAAUAUACACUUUUGUGGAUAGCGAGGAGCUUAGGAAAGGAGAGGAAAUAUCGCCGGCGCUCGUGAGAGCGAUUGAGGAAUCGCGCAUCGCGAUCAUUGUCUUCUCUGAGAACUACGCCUCCUCGCCCUGGUGUUUGGAAGAGCUCUUGAAAAUCAUGGAGUGCAAGGAGCAAAACGGCCUGAUUGUGUUCCCUGUGUUUUACAAAGUGGAACCGAGAGAAGUAAGAUGAGGGAGAGAGAGUUAUGGGAGAGCUAUGGCGAAGCAUGAGUCCAAGCUCGGGAAGAAUUCAGAGAAAGUGAAGAGAUGGAAGAAGGCUCUCCUUGAUGCUGGUAACUUGUCUGGGUGGGACUUCAAUGAUAGGUACGCGCUAAUGUGAUGCAGUGCUUUGCGGUUGUUAUCUCGUGAUUGUUUGUUAGAUAUCAAAUCGUAUGUAUAGCUUCGAAUUGUCAAAACGAUGCAUCAAGUUCUUUGAAUUCGCAGUAGACACACAAAGUUGAAAGGCCAAAUUUCAAGCUAGCAUAAAUUUCUGUCUUAGAUGAGUAGUGUGUUUCCUAGGACCCGAGUAAUUAGUGUCUUCAGGCGCAGAUUCUUUGUAAUUUUGCAUUCUGCAGAUGUUGGCGCAGGUAUGUGUUAUUUCUUUUCAUCUUAUUAUUUGUUAACCUCCUUAUGAAAUUUUCCUUAUGACGUUAGACGUUGAAUUCCUGCCAUGGCUGGAAAUGGUAAAACAUGUUUCUAUUUCUUUUGAGUGCUCAUCAGAGAUGAAAGAGAUGAAGCGGAGCUCAUACAAUUCAUCAUCAAGGAAUUAUCAAUUCGUCUCAGACCAAGAUCCUUUUUUGUCGCUAAGUAUCCAGUCGGUAUAGAAUCCCGAGUUCAAAAACUGAUAAGAUUGUCAGAGUUAGCUGGUAAUGAUGUUUUGAUGAUAGGUCUAUGGGGACCUGGCGGCAUAGGGAAGACGACGAUUGCUAAGGCCCUAUGUAAUGCUAUUGGGUGGCAAUUUCAAGGUAGUAGUUUUUUGGCACAAGUUAGAGAAAAAUCAAACCAAAGCGGUGGUCAUGUUGAUUUGCAAAGACAACUUCUAUCUGAGAUCUUAGCUGAUAAAGAAUUAACGGUCUACAGUGUCCACGGAGGAAUUAGUUUGAUACGGGAAAGACUAUGUUGCAAGAAGGUUCUCCUGGUUCUUGAUGAUGUUGACAAGAUGGAUCAACUUGAUGCCUUAGCUGGAAGAGGUGAUUGGUUUGGCAAAGGAAGUAGAAUCAUUGUUACAUCAAGAGAUAAACAUUUACUAACUUCUCAUGACAAAAAUUAUGUGUAUGAAGUUAAAACUUUAAAAGAUGACAAAGCAGAAGACCUUUUCAGUCAGCAUGCCUUUUCAAAUAGCAAUAAAGUAGAAAUAAGAAGGGAUCUCAUUGAUGGAGCACUACAUUAUGCUGGCCGCCUUCCAUUAGCCCUGGAAGUGUUGGGCUCAUUCUUACGUGGAAGAAAGGAACCUGCAUGGGAAAGUACGUUGCUUAAACUGUCCAAAACUCCUGAAUCAACUAUCAAUCGAGUUCUCAAGAUAAGCUUCGAUGGAUUGGAUGACAAUGAGAGGGACAUUUUCCUCGAUAUUGCUUGUUUCUUUAAGGGGAAAAAUAUAGAGUACAUCAAGGAAGUUCUUGACAGCUGUGAUUUUGACACAACCAUAGGAAUAGAAAUUCUCAUCGAAAGAUCCUUGAUAAAAAACCAGCAUGGGACCCUGCAAAUGCAUGAUUUGAUUCAAUCGAUGGGUCAGGAUAUUGUUAACGAAGCCUGUCGCGAUGAUUGUGGGAAACGCAGUAGAUUAUGGCUUUUGGAAGAUGUUCGGGAAAUUUUUUGUCAUAAUAAGGUAAAAGUUGUUUAUGUCAGUUUUGCUGCAUUUCAGUUUACAUUACUCUAAUUCGGAUGGUAUAAUGUAAAUCUUAACUGGAAAUUUUGUCUGACAGCUGAAUUUACUCUAUUGUGGAUAGGGGACGAAUGCAGUAAAGGCCAUAGUAUUGAACUGGGCCCCACCAGAAGCAGUAGUCAUCCAUCCUGAUGCUUUCACAAAUAUGAAUAAGCUGAGAAUAUUCAUUUUGCAUGGCGUGCAUAUCUCUUCACAAGCUCAACUACGUCUCCCUAAUGACCUGAGAUGGAUUGAAUGGCCUAAUGCCCCGACUCUAGAAUUUGGCUCUGGUCUAAAUAAACUCAGGAGACUCGAUAUCCCGAAAAGUCAUAUCAAACAAUUAGGGGGCAACUCUUAGGUAAGCCCUUGUGAUGAUUAGCUUUUCCUUUUUAUAGCUAUAAAAAAACAUUCGCAGAGCUUAAUGACCGCAUUAGUAUGUUUUUGCAGAAUUUUAGAAAGCUGAAGUCCAUCAAUUUCAGUAAAUGCCAGUCCCUGGUUAGUAUUCACGACCUGUCAUGGGCUCCAAAUGUGGAGAAAUUAAUUCUUAAUGGGUGUGAGAGGUUGGUGGAGGUUCACCCAUCUGUUGGAGAUCUUGUCAAGCUGGAAGUUUUGUCGCUAGGAGGGUGCUUUAAUCUUAGAAAUUUUCCUAACACGCUGAAGACUAAAUCUCUCCAUACCCUUGAGCUCUUUGGUUGCUCUAAACUUGAGAAGUUCCCAGAUAUAGACGGAAAGAUGGAACAUUUGGAAGUACUUCCUCUAUAUAAUACGGCUAUUAAAGAACUCCCUGCAUCAAUUGAAAAUCUUGUCUCUGUGAGGCAGAUAGAUUUAUCAUUUUGCAAAAACCUCAUGAGGCUUCCGUCGCACAUUUAUAAGUUGAAAAAUCUUGAGUCUUUCUGUCUUCAUGGCUGCUCGAAUUUAAUCACGUUUCCAAAAAACAUGGAGGAUUCAACUAAUCCUGAUGGCCAUCUGGGAUUCCGAAAACUAAACCAUCUACUACUUGUGGGGUGCAAUCUAUUGGAAGUAGAGUUCCUUGAGAGUUUUUCCAGUUUUCCUGCAUUGGGGUGCCUAGACCUUCAAUAUAACAAGUUUGCUCAUAUGCCGACAUGCAUCAACAAGUACUAUUGUUUGCACACAUUGAAUGUUAAGGGAUGCGAGCUACUACAAGAGAUUCCUCAGCUUCCACCAAAUAUCAAUCAUCUAUCAGCAGGUUAUUGCAAAUCUCUGCAAAAACUCCCAGAUACAGGGGGUCUCUCCUGCCGCAAUCUUCAGGUUGACUUGACUUCAUGUUGUGAAUUAUUACGCAAUGGGGUCAAUAUGGAUGAUGUGGCUAAUAUGUCAUUACUCGAGGUCUCUCUCUCUCUCUCUCUCUCUCUCUCUCUCUCUCUCUAAUCAAAUGCUUGACAUGCGUCUAUCCGUGUGACAGAAACUGCCAAAGAUGAAAGAUGCCAUCGACAUUGUCCUAAUUGGAAGAGAGAUGCUAAAUGGAUUCUCCCUGUGAAGAGGAUUCCAUAUCUUUCAAAGUUCCUCAGGACUUGUAUAACCACUUCAAAGGACUAGCAUUCUGUGUUGUUCUCAGCCCGGAGGAAGGAAAAGUGGUCAAUAAUUCAUGUAAUUACACAAUACUUGUUGAUGGCCAAUUUGAAAGAGAGGGCACGAGAUAUGUUUCUGGGAUGGAAUCUGACCAUGUGUGGCUUAGUUAUAAGUCACUGAAGUUAGAGCAGCACCUACAAAAUGCUUGGAGUCAUUUCCAAGUUCGCCUCAGAGCAGAAAAGGGAAGCAUAAAGAAGUGUGGAUUCCGUCUAAUAUUUGACUAAAAGGAGGAUGAUCUGAGGGUGGUGUUCCUAGCACCAUCAGCUGAUAGAAACAAAGUGCAGUUUUUUGGGGCAGACUUAGAAGAAGAUAAUUCAAUAGACACAGAGGAAGAAGACACUCCAAUUGAAACAGAUGUAGAGGAAAGCUCAUCUCCUUUAACAAAGAAGAUGAGACGGUCUUAACUACGGUGAGACUAUGGGUUCCAAUGUCUUUGCUUUCCCUUUUCCGGGCCUCCACUAGAGAUUGGUGAGUGUCUGCUUCUUCAAUUAGAAUUCAAGAUCAUUAUAAACAGAGGUUUCGCACCACGCGACUGACAUGAUUGAGGAUCAUUUUUUGGUUUUUUGUUCUUUUUUGCCUGUUUGUUUAUGAUUUGUGAUGCAGAGCGCAUUAACCCAAAAAUUAAGAGGAUGCUUUUUGAAUGCCCAUGGUCUUUCAAGUCGCUCCAUGUAAUUUAUCACAUCGGCCUCUGUCACCUCUCUUAAUCCAAUUAAUGAUGCCUAUACUUCGUGCUUUAAAAUUCUGAUAGACUGAGUUGUGCUCAAUCUAGUAUAAUCAAUAAUACCUUUAGGAAAGUGUUGUUCGAAUUGUCUCAAAGAUCAAAAAGUCUAUACAAGGAAAAUUAGUUGAUUCCUCUGUUAUUACUCGGCAGAUUGCAUUGGAUAGGUACUAAGGGUGAGCUUUAGCUUUGAGACUUUGCAUUUAGGCAAAGGACAUUGAUUCGAAGAAUGUUUAUGAUAAGCAAAUAGCGCCUUAGUAAAUGCAUUGUAAAAUACUUAUUGCAAAGUAUUUCACAAAUAACAGAAUAAAUAUGUCAAAAGGAGAAUGGAGAAAUUUGCGAUUGUAGAUAAAAACCCAAUCCUGGGGCACAACAAUAGCACCGGUACCGACGUCUUGUGACCCUAAGUGACGUGCUGCCAAGGCCACAUGAGCCCACGUAAUCUGCCGGUGUCGCAUGAUUCUAGGUAGCGCAAUGCAGAAUCCGCAUGACUAGGCAACUCGACGCCUGACUCUCUUUAAGCUACAUUUAGCAACGAGUGACCCUUGGCGAGUUAGAAUUGGCGUCAAGCGAAACUCGACAAAGUUUGCCGACGUCUGCUCACCCUUGGUGGGGUUGUGCCGGCAUCCCUCGACCUCCUCCACGAAGCUUCUCAGCCACGAUCGACCACGACCUCUAUCCAAGAUUGGGAGGAGGGAGGGCAAAAUAGGAAUACUACUAUAUCAAUGAUACCAAGAUUGGAAAAAUAAGACUGUAUUAAACUUCUGAAGUUGCAUUUCGGAAAUACCAGAGCUCAAAGCUGGAGUUCGUCUUGAGCCUUGAGCAUUUUCAAAGCAAAAUUUUACACCAAAAAAAUUUGAACCUGUGUUACCGAACCCCAAAACUUUGGUAUAAAGACCUUUAAAAGUCCAUGUUGACACCUAAAAUUUGGCAUCCCCAUCAUCCAUUUAUUGCAUAUAAAAUUAUGGAUUAAUUUUUAACCCCUAAAACAAAAAAUAGAAUUAAAAUUGCAUAACAUAUACUUUUAAGUGGCAUUAUUAUUUAUUUAUCACGUUUGCAUUUGAUUGGCGACGUAAGAAUUUUAAUUUUGCAAGUUAGCGACUCGAUAUUUUCAUAAAGGAUUUGUAUUAUUUUUCCAAUAUUCAAUAAAUCCUUCAUGUAUUCACGUGAUAUAUACAUUGAGCGAUAUAUUUCACUGAAGAAUGGAUUUUUAAGGAUGAUAUAUCAAGAGGGAAUAUUGCACGUGGAGCAUGUAUUGAAUGAUAUAUUUUUUGUCUCAAAACAAGAAAGAUUACAUGUUCAGGGGGAUUUCGUGCGAGAGCCAAAAAUAAAAGGACAAAAUAUUUUAAGAAUCCAAUAUAGGGGAUAAAAUUUGCUCGGCUCGAGCCCUUUCUCUAUAAAAGGGACUCAUUACACGACAAGGAGGAGAGGGGGGGUCACAAUUUUGAGAGAGUAAAUUUGUUCACGAGAAAGGAGACGAUUUUAAUGUGUGCAGGAAGAGAGAGGAUUUUCAUUGCGUGGAGAGGGAAAGAGAAAAGAAGGGGCGGAUGCGGAAACCUUCACUUCCCAUCUACUUCUUCACGGGCGCAACAGAUACAGAGGACGCACGCUGACAAGAAGACCAGCUCUUGCCACGUCUCUUGUCACGCAUGUCCUCCUUGGUUUUUGAUUCCCGGUGAGCGCAGCAAAUUCUCGAACCAAUCGAGGCCCAUCAUUUUUUCGAAGAUUCGUCUCCAGUUUUGUUGCUGCCGCUGACCACCGCUUGGAACUCCCUUCGCUAUCGCGACCUCCGUUCGCUGCUGUUACUCCUUCGACGAACUGCUGCCCCUACGUGACCGAGCUGCUAUCCCUGUGACGUACCUGCUACCUGCCGGAGCCCUGGCGAGCUCGCUGCCUCGACGUAACGAAAGGCAUUUGCAAGUCGCUGUCCCCGACGUGAGCCGCUACUGUGUUGCCUAUCAAGCCAAGCAUCACCUAGACUGCCAAGUGUCCAUUGAGAAUCGUGAGUCGCCGUUCGAAGAUCCACAUUUAGAAGCCAAUAUCCGAAUUAGGCAAAAAUCUUAUCUAAUUUGAUUUCUGAAUUUUUGGUUUUCUUAUUUGAAAUAUUGUUCAUGCACAUAAUUAAAAUUUCCAACAUGUUAUCAUGUCCGCAAUAUGGAAUAGCCUUUUAAAUUAGGGACUAUUUUCUAAUUUCAGAACAUGCAUAUGAUUAACAGUCCGAUUUCAUGUCCGAAAGAUGACUCACAAUCGCAUGAAAAAUUACAAAUCCGAUCUCACGUCCAAAAUAUGAUUAAUAAUUUUGUUAAAAAUUGGCCAAUCUGAUCUCAUGCGCGAGAUACGAUUUGUCAAAAAAAUUAGAUGGGUAUCGAUCAUAUCUUGCUUGAUUUGCCAUCGUGCUUUUAUGCAUUUGCUUGAAUUGAUUUUGUUUCUGUAAAAGAAAACCCAAAAAAUAAUAAAUAUUUGAAGUUUGAUUAAGUUCAUGUUAGAAUAUCGCAUGUUUUAGGAUGGUUUGCAUCUUUAGAUUGGGAAAUUUAUUUAUUUCAAAUUUUUGAAAUAAAAAAUACCAAAAACAUUAAUUUAGGAUGCUAAAUUUUCUUUUCAUUACUUUAAAUAGCAUGUUUAAUUGUUGGGCAAUUUUAAUUUCGAAUUUUAUAAAAAAGAAAAAUAAAACAUAAAAAGUAUUGUGCGUGUGUAACAUAGAAUUAGGUCAUUCUUAAAUGUGUGAUAUAUUAGGAUAGUUUCAUUUAAUAUUCAUUGUCAUUAAAUUAGUUUAUUUAAUUAAUAUUGCGUGACAUAUAGUUUACACAUAUUCUUGUAAAUCAUUGCAUUGCAUUGCACGUAGAUUAUGUUUCGUUAAAUAAGAGAAAAUCGUAAAAAAGACUGAGCGAUUGCAUGUUAAUUAGAAUCAUAUCUAUCUAGGACUGUCGAUGUGAAUUUUUAGUUAACAUUGUAGAUACUUUCGUUGCUAGGAGGUAAGUCUUGUAAUUUAUUUGUUAUUUUAUUGGGGGUUAAAUUGGUAGAUUGUGCACCCGCAUGGUCAGUUCACAUGUUAGGGAGUAAUAAAAUGAAUUCAAGCCACCUAAUAAAAAAAAAUUUCUAUGAAAAGAACGGCACCGGAAGGGUAUUAGAGAAAUUUAGUGUAACCAAGUCUCUAUUCUAAAAUAAUUCUCUCGUUAUUUUACUUAGAUAUCUAAUCAACUUACCCUAAACUAAUUAGUGGCGACUCCUAGAUAAUGGUCUAUAGAGGAAAAAUUCUGAGAUAGUAAGUUUUGCUCAAUCUAGUAUAAUCUAUAUCUUUAGGAAAGUGUUGUUCGAAUUGUCUCAAAAAUCAAAGGUCUAUGGAGGAAAAAUUAGUCAUUCCUCUGUUUUUACNNNNNNNNNNNNNNNNNNNNNNNNNNNNNNNNNNNNNNNNNNNNNNNNNNNNNNNNNNNNNNNNNNNNNNNNNNNNNNNNNNNNNNNNNNNNNNNNNNNNNNNNNNNNNNNNNNNNNNNNNNNNNNNNNNNNNNNNNNNNNNNNNNNNNNNNNNNNNNNNNNNNNNNNNNNNNNNNNNNNNNNNNNNNNNNNNNNNNNNNNNNNNNNNNNNNNNNNNNNNNNNNNNNNNNNNNNNNNNNNNNNNNNNNNNNNNNNNNNNNNNNNNNNNNNNNNNNNNNNNNNNNNNNNNNNNNNNNNNNNNNNNNNNNNNNNNNNNNNNNNNNNNNNNNNNNNNNNNNNNNNNNNNNNNNNNNNNNNNNNNNNNNNNNNNNNNNNNNNNNNNNNNNNNNNNNNNNNNNNNNNNNNNNNNNNNNNNNNNNNNNNNNNNNNNNNNNNNNNNNNNNNNNNNNNNNNNNNNNNNNNNNNNNNNNNNNNNNNNNNNNNNNNNNNNNNNNNNNNNNNNNNNNNNNNNNNNNNNNNNNNNNNNNNNNNNNNNNNNNNNNNNNNNNNNNNNNNNNNNNNNNNNNNNNNNNNNNNNNNNNNNNNNNNNNNNNNNNNNNNNNNNNNNNNNNNNNNNNNNNNNNNNNNNNNNNNNNNNNNNNNNNNNNNNNNNNNNNNCAUAAUGCGCUGAACCGAUCUAGGCGGCAUAUGCCGAAUCCCACAAGAGUAGGCACUCGACGCCCGACUUCUCUGGUGCUAAAUCUAGCAAAUGAGUGACCCUUGCCGAAGUUAGAGUUGGUUGUCGAAGCAACCUUCGGCAAAACUUGGCUGACGUCUGCCAAACCUCUCGGUGAAGUUUGUGCUGGCGUCCCUUGACCUCCUCCGGGAAAGCUUCCUAGCCACGAUGGACCAUGGCUUUCUUUCUGUCUAUCCAAGAUUGUUUUUUCUUUUUUUUUUGGGGGGGGGGGGGUUGGAAGAUGUAAAAUAGGAAUACUACUAUAUCAGUGAUAUCAAGAUUAGAAGAACAAAACUAUAUUAAACCUCUGAACGUGCAUUCCGAAAAUACUAGAGCUCAAAGCUGGAGUUUGUCUUGAGCUUUGAGCAAUUUCAAAGAAAAAAUUUACACACAAAAAAUUUGAAACCACGUUACCAGACGCCAAAACUUCAGCUUAAAGACUUUUAAAGGUCCAAAGCUCCUCGUAAAUGCUCUCCCAAAGACACUUGAUUAUCUUGGCUCAGUCAGAGCAAAAGUGUAAUUUUAUGAGUGCCCACUUUAUCGGCUCAGUACUUGGGCCUCCUAUGUCGGCCCCUUCCCAACAAAUCACCACUGUCGAUCAUGCCUUGGCCGUCUCAUCAUGUACUUUCAUCCCCACCCAUCGACUCAUCUCUCUGUCCAGCGCCAUUGCAUCUCCCCAUCCCUGGGCCCACUACAAAAUCUAUCCAAAAAAGAAAAUUAGCUCUUAAAUUAUAUGAAAAUCUCCAUUUUUAUUUUUAUUUUUAUUUUUGCCACUGCAAAACAAUUGAAUUCCAAGACAAACAACAAUCAGGUUAACUGUUCACUUUCCUCUCCAUUUGGGCGAUUCAGGCACUAUUCACUCCAGCUGGCUUUUUGCGGAUUCUGGUUGAUUCCGCUGGUAUCUGGAGUUGAUUUUCGUGGGCUAGGUCAUUUGGGGACCGCCUACAAACCCCAAGUAAGCUUGGCUUGGUUGGUUUUCGUUUAUCAAGAUGGGAGCUCUCGAUCAGAAUUUCUGGUGCGCCUAGCUUUUCCCGAUUCUGGUCUCUGUCUUCGUGGGUGGCUUUGACUGGUUGGUGUGUUGAUUGUUGGCGGAUUUCCUUGUCCCUGAAGGCCCUUAAGCCCCUACGAACACUUGUUGGGCCGUCCAAAUGAGGAGUCCCAAGUGGGCUCUAGGCGUGGUAGGAGCCGCCUUAGAUCUGCUUCUCGUGGCCCUAGAGUGGCUCGUCCUGCUGGACAAAAAUGGAGUGAGCAGAAAGCCCCUCCAACCCGUUCAUGGGUUAAUGUUGCUAGGCUCUCAGCAAAGGGAUAUGAACUUAGCUUCGUGCCUCCAACUUUUGUUGGAAAAAGAGGAGUGGUGCACCUCUCUGAGGAAGUGGUGCAUCUGGCAGAUCUGAAAUGGAAUCAUUGUUUGAUGGGGUAUUUCAUUGGCAAGAAAGUGCCUUUCAAAAUGACUGAGUCAGUCCUUAAGGAGACGUGGGGCUCCCAUUUAACUGAAAUGCUUGCUGAUGAUGAAGGAUUUUAUUUCUUCUUUAUUCCCGACCUUGAUUACUGCAGGAAGAUUCUUGAGGAAGGUCCAUUGACGGUGAAUAAAGUGCCACUUAUUCUGAAACAAUGGGAUCCCACUCUUGAGCUGAGGAAGGACUUGCAAUCCUUUGUGCCCGUUUGGAUCCGUAUGAAAAACAUACCUUUUGCUUAUUGGUUUGCUCUUGGGAUAAGCCAGAUAGCGAGUGCGGUCGGUAGACCCUUAUAUGUGGACCCAUUGACUGAAAAAAUGAAACGUUUGUCUUUUGCAAGAGUAUGUGUCAAAGUGUUGGCUAAGUUAGAGAAAUGUGAAUCUGUGAAGGUAUUUCUGAAUGGGGAGUCCUUCAUUGUUCCUAUCUUAUACGAAUGGAUACCCAUUGCGUGUCCAAAAUGCCAUGUCUUUGGCCAUAACUGUGAGGAGAAAGAAGUUCCGGCACCCGUAGCAGAUAAGUCCCAUGAUGCUGUUGCUGAGGAAGCUCGAGAUGCUGCUGUGCCUACGGUGCCCCCCUCGAUUCCUCCUGCCUAGCCUCUUAAGGUGUCUUAUGCUGACCAGCAGGAUGGCUAGAAGCAGGUAACUCGGAAGAAGACGCAACCGUUGGGAUCUAAUGGGAAGGACUCUUCGACUCCUAUCUCUUCUUUGAAGUUUAUGGAUAAAUCAGAUUCUUCUCAAGCUUUAAGCAAGUCUGCCCAGAAAAAUAAAGGUGCUUUGAUUCCUAGCUCUUCUGGACCUCCUUGCACGAUGGUUCCUGUUGAGCCAAUCCCAGAAUCUGCUUAUAUUGGGUCUGGCUCUACUGCUGAAGAAUAUGAGGAUGCGGCUAGUGCGGUAAGUAGCAGCUCAGAUGAGGAACUCGAUGGUCCUAGUGAAUUGGUUACAAAUGUUAAGCAUUAUGUUGUUUUUUAGGAAGCCCCUGCUAAAAGGAACUCGCCCAAGACUCCGUCUGUCCCAAAGUUGGCCGCCCCUCCUAUCCCAGCAUUGGCUCCUCCUCCUAACCCUCCUCAAGGCACUAGCCGAAGGAGAUCACGUCGUUAACUUCUAUUCUCAUCGUAAUACAUUAUAUAGUUAUAUAUAGCUAUGUAUAUUGGAGUUUGGAAUAUUAGGAGACUUGGUAACCAUCUCAAGCAAGCUGAAAUUAGAAAAUUUGUUAGAUCUCAUAAUCUAUGUUGUGUUGGUAUUGUGGAAACAAAGAUUUCCCAGGGUGCCUUUAGUGCGAUCUCUGCUGUUUUGUUGCCGGGCUGGAAGUGGGAAAAUAAUUAUAAUCAUUCCUCAAAAGGAAGAAUUUGGGUGGGGUGGAACCCCCGUGAAGUCUUAUUUGUUACGAACUCUUCUUCGAAUCAAGCUAUUCAUGGAAAGUUACCUUGCUUAAAUUCUGGUAAGGUUCUUUUCGUUACGGUGGUCUAUACUGAGCAUAGUUUUGUGGCUAGACGUCCUCUUUGGGCUGACAUUAUUCAGACUAGCUCUCUCCUUUUGGAUUUCCCUUGGAUACUAGCAGGAGACUUUAAUGCAAUUCGUGACCCUUCGGAUAGAUUGGGUAGUUCUAAUGGUUGGAUCCUAGUUUUUGAUGAGUUGCGUGAGUGCCUCAUUCAAACUGGUCUUGACGAUCUCAGGUAUACCAGGAAUAGAUUUACUUGGGCUACUUCCAUGGGUGCCAACCGUAAGCAAAGAAAGAUUGAUCGUGUUCUUGUUAAUUCUUGUUGGACAGCUGAAUUUUCUUUUUCUGAGGCCUCUUUCUUGGCCCUUGGCAUUUUAGAUCAUUCUCUAAUGAUUAUUAAGAUUAUGCCUGCCCCUAAGUCUCGCAAGCCUUUCAAGUUCUUCAAUUUCUGGUUUUCUCAUCCGGAUUUUACUGAUGUGGUUUCGCAAGCUUGGAGUUCUCCCUUUGUGGGUUCUCCAAUGUUUAUUCUUUGCUCCAGGCUUCGGCUUCUCAAAUGUAAGUUGAAACAAAUCAACAAGGAGUCCUUCUCGGACUUGUCCUCUAGAACGGCUGAAGCAAGACGUGCAUUGCUCUAAACCCAAGAUGCUCUUAAGAAUGACUAUUCGAAUAUUCAACUUGCUGAAUUGGAAAAACAACAGCUCCAAUCCUUCUUGGAUUUGCGCCUUCAAGAGGAAUCAUUUUAUAGACAAAAGUCUCGGGUGCGGUGGUUGAAAGAAGGUGAUCUUAAUACUAAAUUUUUCCAUAACUCGGUAAACAAGAGACAACUUCACAAUAGAAUUAUCUCGCUCUCCGAUGGGAUCGUUUCUACCUCAAAUCCCUCUGAAGUUCAAAACCUGUUUGUUGACCACUUCCAGGAGUUAUUGGCCUUCUCUCCCCCUACUGCGAGGCCUUCGGUGGAGGAGAUGCGUGCGGUGUUGAGGCACACCCUUGAUGCGGAUCAGGUACGUUUUAUUUCUAGCCCCAUCUCGGAGACUGAAAUUAAAGAUACUCUAUUCUCUCUUGUGGUGGGUAAGACCCCUAGCCCUGAUGGAUACAAUGUGGAAUUUUUUAAACAUUCUUGGGAGAUUGUUGGACCUUCUGUUAUUCUGGCAGUGAAAGAUUUCUUUGAGACGGGCAUGUUGUUGCGGGAAAUUAACACAACUAUUUUGGCCCUGGUCCCCAAAGUCCCGAAUGCUUCCAAUGUGAAUGAUUUUCAGCCAAUUGCUUGCUGUAACACAUUAUACAAGUGUAUUACCAAGCUUAUUGCUAAUUGGCUCUCUCGGGUGCUACCUUCUAUCAUUGGUCUGCCCUAAAAUGCCUUUGUAAAAGGUAGACACAUCAGUGACAAUAUUUUACUUGCUCAGGAGCUGUUUUGUGGUUUUCACAAUGAUCCUUACCGGCCUAAAUGUGUUAUUAAAGUUGAUUUUAGGAAGGCCUACGAUACGGUGGAUUGGAGGUUUAUUGAAUUGUGUCUGCAGGCUUUCGGUUUCCCCCAGGAGUUCAUUGCCCGGGUUAUGAUUUGUAUUCGUACCCCCAAGUUCUCGGUUGCAAUUAAUGGGGAACUCCAUGGGUUCUUUUCAAGUGGGAGGGGUAUCAUUAGGGUGAUCCCAUGUCGCCGUAUAUUUUUACUUUUGUGAUGGAAGUCUUUACAGGUAUUCUGGACAUUCAAACUUCACAUUCGGACUUUGGUUUUUUCUGGCAUUGCAAGCCCACCAGACUUUCUCAUCUUUUCUUUGCUGAUGAUGUACUACUCUUCGUUGAAGCUAACUUACCGUCUAUUGAUCUUCUCAAGAAUGGUAUCGAGAAAUUUUCUAGCUAGAGUGGGCUGAUUCUGAAUCUUCGGAAGAGUGAAGUUUUCCUUUCUGGAGGCUCCUCUAACCUUCAUGAGGAUAUCCUCAAUAAGCUGGGCUAUUAGUUGGGCACAUUUCCUUUCCGCUAUCUAGGAGUACCGGUUAUUUCAGCUAGAUUGGGAAAAGCUAACUGCGUCUCCUUGGUUAAUUCAAUCACGGCUUGUGUUUAGUCUUGGACCAAUAGAUUCCUCUCCUUUGCGGGGGCGUCUUCAACUUAUAAGGUCGGUGCUUCAUUCUAUACAAGUCUUUUGGGCUAAUGUGUUCUUUCUGCCAUGUUCGGUUCUAAACUGAAUUAAGCACAUUUUCCGCCAAUUCUCUUGGAGAGGCCCUCAGAUGGGUGCAAGUGGUGCUAAAGUCUCGUGGUGUAAUGUUUGCCUUCCCAAAAAUGAAGGGGGCUUAGGUAUUCGUACUCUAGGGGAGAACAACAUUGCGUCCAUGCUCAAACAUAUUUGGAUUCUUUUCUCCGAUAAGGAAUCCCUGUGGUGUAAGUGGAUUCAUUCCAAUUUCUUACAACAGAAAAUUUUUUGGGUGGUCCCUUGCCCUACUCAUUGCUCUUGGCCCUGGAGGAAGUUAUUAGAUUUUCGUGAUCAAUUUUAGCAAUAUUUCAGAUGGAGCAUUGGAAAUGGGAGGUCGGUCUCCUUUUAGUUCGACCCUUAGCACCCAAAUGGUCCUUUGUACAAGAUCUUUUCUAAUCAGGAUAUUUAUCGCUCGGGUAUAUCUCGCUCUGCUUCGGUUGCUGAUGGUUUUGCUACUUCUAUGGGCUGGUAUAUCAUUAACAUCAUGGCUAAUUGGUGGAAUCCCCUUCCGGUAUUCAACCAAGAGGAGGAUCGUUUUCAGUGGCUUCCGCACCCAUCCGGUCGCUUCUCCAUUGCUUCUGCUUGGGAUUUGAUCCGACCGAAGCGUAAUGUCAUCUUGUGGGCUUCUUUUGUUUGGAAUAUUGCGUUGCCUCCAAGAUAUCAAACGCAUCUUUGGCUUAUUUCGCGCAAUCGGCUGCCGACUUAGGUUUUGCUCAUCUCUUAUGGUAGGAUCCCCCCUACAAAUUGCCCCCUUUGUUCAUGUAGACCUGAUUCUAUAGAUCAUUUGUUCUUUGCUUGCCGUCCUUCAGAUAGUCUUAUUUCAUUUUGGGCAGCAAGAUUCAACCUAGUGUGGUGAAACAAGCUUUGGGCGGAUAAUUUGGCCUGGGCUUCCAAGCGGUUUAUGGGGAAGAGUUUUUAUCAGAUCUUGGCUCGGUUUAGUUUUGGUGCAAUGUGUUAUAUCAUUUGUAAAGAGCAGAACAAUGUGCUUUUUCGGAAUCAGACUCUCUUUCUUCCAAUGAUGAAAAUGCAUCUUCAGAAGGCUAUCAAAGAUAAGGCUAUGACCUUUAAACAUGUUCUUGAUGUGCCCAUGAAUAGAAGACUUCAACGAAGCUGGAACAUCCAUCCUUCUAUUUUUGAUUGAUGGAGGUUUUCUAGUUUUUGUUGUCUUUUGUUUCCUUUUGUUGUUGUUGCUCCUUUUUUCUGGUAACCAUGGCACCCUUACACUCGUUCUAGACUUUUGUCUUCUUGAGUGUCUGUUUUUGUUGGUGCCGGACCUCCCUCUUGUAUUCUUUCUUGCAAAAUCAAUAUAUUACUUACCUUUACAAAAAAAAAAAAAAAACAAAAAAAAAACAAUUGAAAUAAAGCAGGCUGAGUAAAUCACGCAUUCCCAAGAUCACGAGCGUGCCAUAUUGCAUAGAAUAGUACCAAUAUUAUAGCACAAAAAACUAAAGUUUAAAUUAAGUGAAAAUCUAAUCCAAACAUACAAUGUAAAUGACACAAUCCAAAAAUGCUCGGGAUAUUAUUGUGUAUGAAGAUCCAAUGACUUGUAUAGAUUUCAACAUCCAAAUUCCAAUAGGAUUAUGUUAUAGAAUAUGUUUUCAUUAGUUGAUUUAUUCACCUAGGAGUAGGGACCCCCAAAAAAAAAAGGAUUUAGGUACGUUUGUUUUAAUUAUAUGAGGUUUCUUACUAGUAAAAAAAUUCCUAAAUUACCAAUUAGUGUCCCUUUGCAAUUGUAGCUCCAAAUAUUUUUCUCCUCUUUCCUUUCCUUUUAGUGGAUUUUUUUUUUAUAGUUUUGUAUUGCAGUGUGACUUAUUAGGGUGGUGAUUUAUUACAGAAGAAUGAGUCAUUUCAUUCAUCGUUUAUAAAAUAAAUUCCCAUUGAGUUAUCCACCUUACCAAGAUUAGACUUCAGGAACUCAACCCCCAACUCUUCUCUUGAUGAUGCGAUAGUUACUUACUAGUGGAAUGGAGGUUAGGAGAUCACUCGACAAAUUGUGAGCCAUUGAUUUCAACAUUCGGAUGAAAAACGGCAAAUAGAUAAAGAAAAAGAUCAAAUAAUUUCCUUUUUUGUAUCACUUUCGAAUCAAUACUUAACUUUUAUUUGAGGAAAUCAUAUAAAAAAAUAACAACGACUGCAGAAAAUCUAUGCGAGAAUUAAUUGUAAGGAGGUAACGUGGCAAAAAAAAAAGUCCAUCUAUUACUUAAAUUUCUAUAUACUCGUCAAUUUAAUAAAAGAAAAAUGUCAAAGUUAGAGUAGUCUUGAUUUCGAAUCUUGCAUAAAUGACAGCCACAUCCAUGACUUCUAGCAUUCUCGAUUAUGUCGGGAUGGCCCAGGAUUUGUUCUAGACAAUGAAGGAAAAAGGCAUUGCCAUAUUUUCACUUUGGGUUUUGCCAUUAGCUCGCUUGCCGUUUAGUUUUUAGUAUGUAACCCUCUUAGUUUGAUUUGUUUUUUUUCAUUGGUAAUAAUCAAAUUUUUUCAUUAGAUUUGACAAGCUCAAUUCUCAAAAUUUUGUUCUGAAAUCGAUCUUUGACAAGUGCAAGCAAAUUAUCACAAUGAUCCGACAAUGGAGCAUGGAUGAUACCUACUGGAAAUGAGGGGGCUUAUAACAUACGGANNNNNNNNNNNNNNNNNNNNNNNNNNNNNNNNNNNNNNNNNNNNNNNNNNNNNNNNNNNNNNNNNNNNNNNNNNNNNNNNNNNNNNNNNNNNNNNNNNNNNNNNNNNNNNNNNNNNNNNNNNNNNNNNNNNNNNNNNNNNNNNNNNNNNNNNNNNNNNNNNNNNNNNNNNNNNNNNNNNNNNNNNNNNNNNNNNNNNNNNNNNNNNNNNNNNNNNNNNNNNNNNNNNNNNNNNNNNNNNNNNNNNNNNNNNNNNNNNNNNNNNNNNNNNNNNNNNNNNNNNNNNNNNNNNNNNNNNNNNNNNNNNNNNNNNNNNNNNNNNNNNNNNNNNNNNNNNNNNNNNNNNNNNNNNNNNNNNNNNNNNNNNNNNNNNNNNNNNNNNNNNNNNNNNNNNNNNNNNNNNNNNNNNNNNNNNNNNNNNNNNNNNNNNNNNNNNNNNNNNNNNNNNNNNNNNNNNNNNNNNNNNNNNNNNNNNNNNNNNNNNNNNNNNNNNNNNNNNNNNNNNNNNNNNNNNNNNNNNNNNNNNNNNNNNNNNNNNNNNNNNNNNNNNNNNNNNNNNNNNNNNNNNNNNNNNNNNNNNNNNNNNNNNNNNNNNNNNNNNNNNNNNNNNNNNNNNNNNNNNNNNNNNNNNNNNNNNNNNNNAUCGAUAUCAGAGCGUCAUUUCAACCCAGUUUGUUUCAUAUAUGUAGCUCUCCAUAUAAUGGUGGCCGACACAAGACAAUCAUAAUUAAGCUACUCCUUCGACAAGGGCAUGAUUAUGGAAUGCCACAUGAGACAAAAGCAACUUUAACCCUGCUAUGGUAUUAAGAUGACAAUAAUAAUAAUAAUAAUAAUAAUAAUAAUAAUAAUAAUAAUAAUAAUAAUAAUAAUAAUAAUAAUAAUAAUAAUAAUAAUAAUAAUAAUAAUAAUAAUAAUAAUAAUAAUAAUAAUAAUAAUAAUAAUAAUAAUAAUAAUAAUAAUAAUAAUAAUAAUAAUAAUAAUAAUAAUAAUAAUAAUAAUAAUAAUAAUAAUAAUAAUAAUAAUAAUAAUAAUAAUAAUAAUAACACAUAAUGUUGAUUCAGUUUUUGUAAGUCUAAAGUCCAAGCUUAGGUCGAAGUAUGUAAGGAAUGACAAGGUUCAUUUUUUUUUUUUUUUAACUAUGGCGAUCUUUAUAAUAAAAAUGAAAUAAAAUGUAAUUUUUAAUCUUCAAGGAGUUGAUUGAGUAUGUGAGAGAUUUAUUUAUAAGACAGAUCCUGUAUUUAGUUGUAUACUAAGAAUAACUCUAAGGGGUCAUGCUCACGAUUGGCCCAUUGAUGGAGUCUUAUUGCAUGUGAUCGAGACAAUCAUAGGGUUUUAGUCAAGUAAAGAUUCGCAUCCGUUGUUACAAUUUAUUUUUACCACAUACCUAAUUUUAAUAAUUACAAAAAUUACUCUAUAAGUAUGCCAAUAUCAAUUGAUACUUAUCAAUUUUUUGGUUUAUGGGGAAAUUCUUUGAGCUAAAAAGGGGUAAAACAAUAUCUGAUGGACUAGCUAGAUGUAGACGGAAUACAGAAGUGCGGUGAACAAAUGGGUUAAAGGAGAACACCUAAGAACAAGAAGCUGCAGUACAAAUCCAAUAGAAUUGUCCAACCUCGCUAAACAUUCGGAAUGUGUAAACCGUAUUGACUUUGCACGUUAUAUCACCAUAACUCGUAAUAUCAUAAAUUAAUUUUACCGAUGUAUCAUAAUAAUAUUGUACUUUUAAUUACAACGAGAUGUUGUAACAUUAUAUUAUACAUUUGAAGUAGUAUAGAAGUGACUCUAACUUACGAGUUUGUUAUUGAAUAAGAAUGAUACGUUGAAAAAUAAUAAGUUUUCUAGUUUUAUGUCAAUCGGAAAAAAAAAGGAGGGUUUUUCAAUUUACGGCACAGAUAAGCUUAUGGGAACCAAAAUCGAGUUUAUGUAAAACUUAAACAUGAGUGGUCGAUUAAAAAAAAAAAAAAACAUGGAUGUGCCAUACAAUUCGGCCUCUUCGGUUGGCCCCUCCCUAAACAAGUCACCGCCGUCGAUCAUAUCCAACGACCCUUCUUCGUCAUUUUUCCCACUCCAUUCCGUUUCUUUAUAAAUAAAUAAAAAAACGGAGUUAAGUGUAAAUAAAAAUAAAUUUUAUUAAGAGGUAUCCAAAAGACACUGGUUAAGAAUAAUAAAAUAAUAAAAACACAUAUAAACGCAUUGUAAAGAAUUAAGCAAGAACAAAUUUCGAAUGAGAGCAAUUUAUUUUAAUUUAAUUUAAUAUAUACAUUUUUUUUCUUUUCCUCCUCUUGAAGAGUUUUUAGUCCCAUUUCAAUUGGCAAGUGAAAAUGCCAAGUGAUUUCCUCUAAGAAUAUUUUAUAAAGUGAAGUUCAUACUAGGAUUGUAUUUAUAUUCUUCAUUGACUUGCGCUAAAGUUUAAUCUCUCUCACUUUCCAUCUCAUUAGCGACCCUUCAUUUCAAGUCUUGGAGGCCUAAAGUCAUGCGCAAAAUCCAAUGAAGUAGAAAUGAUAUUGCCAAUCACUUUCUGAACUCAAGAAAUUGCCCAGAACCAGUGUACACGAUCAUUUUCGAAUAGUGGGGGAGAGGGAACGAGGAAAGUUCCGAAAGGGAAAUCGGAGAAAGAAACUUGGGCUACGGGCAAAUGGCACACGAUCAUUUUCAGAUAGUCUCUGACUGUACCUGAUGGUGAUCUACGUAUAACUUUCUUUGGUCUUUGUUCCAUUGCGUAAGCCAUAAUCCACAAACAAAGUGAUCUAUAGAUGAGAGCUAGAGCCUAGAAACCCCAUCAGAUCUUGAAGUCCAUCAUUCAUCGGCUCUUCUCAUGGCUGCUUCUUCAAAUCAGAAAAGGUGUUAUCAUGCUCCUGAGUUUCAGAGGCAAGAACGUUCGCAACAACUUCCUUGGUCAUCUCUCUACUAGAAAUUUGAAAAUGUCUACUCCUUCGAUCAGAAAUCAAAAUCACUUUGAAAUAUAGAUUUUGCAUCAUGCUACCAACAUGGUUGAGGAACUUCUUCUUUUUCCUCUCUUUAUUUAUGAUUUUGUGAUGCUGAGUAUUUUAAUUCAAAAUUAAUUGGAUGCUUGCUGAAUGGCCAUGGUCUUUCAAGUUGCUUUGUGUAAUUUAUCAUAUGGACAUCUAUCUCCUCUUAUAAUCUAAUUGAUGAUGCUAGCACUUCAUACUCUAAAAUUUUGAGAUAGUAAGUUUGGCUCAAUCUAAUAUAAUCCAUCUAUUUGGGAAAGCAUUGAUCUAAUUGUCUCACAGAUCAAAAGGUCUAUACAGGGAAGAUUAGUUGGCUCCUCUGUUGUCGCUAGGCAGAUCGCAUUAUAUAGGUACUAAGGGAGAGCUUUAGCUUCAAGAUUUUGCAUUUAAGCAAAGGACAUUGACUCAAAGGAAUUGCUUUUAAAGUAAAUAGUGUUUAAUACAUUGUUAAAAUACUUACUGCAGAGCAUUUUUUUUCAAAUAAGCAAGAAGAAGAGAACGGAUGAACUUGCAGUUACAUAUGAAAACUCAAGCGGAGGCCACAAAACUAGACCAGUGCCAACGUGAUGCGAUCCCAUUGUGCUGCCGUGGUCCCAUGCGAUGCGCAAUGCCAUGGCCACACAAUUAGGUAAUGCAAUGCUCGACCCUCAACAAACUAGAUAUGGUGUCAGGUGACCCUAGGCAAGUAGAAUCUGGUGUCGAGCGACCACUUCGAUAAAGCUUGCUGAUGUCCCCCAACCCUCGUCAAGCUUGCCAAUGUCCCCCAACCUUCUCCAAAAAGCAUCCCAACCAUGAGCGACCACGGCUCUCUCUAUCUCCAUCCAAGAUUGGGUUGGGGUAGGGGUGUCAAAAACCAAACCGAAAACCGAACCGAACCGAACUGAAAAUUUUGGUUUUUUUUUCGGUUCGAUUCUCAUUAAAAAUCGAAACUUUUUAACCAGUUCAGUUUUUAUUGGUUUGGUUAACCAAACCAAAUCGAUAAAAUCUAAUGUUUUUCCUCUUUUUUUAAAUUAUUUUUAAAAUUUUUUAAAUUUUUUUCUUUUCCUUCCUCUUCUUAUUCAUUGGCCGGCGAAAAAUUAAAAGAAAGAAAAGGAAAAAUAAAAUAAAAUAAAAUAAAAUUAAAAAAUCGAUUUUAAAAAUAAAAAAUUUAUAGAAAGGGGGUGUAUGUAGGGAGAAAUACAAACAUAAAAGUAAAAACCGAAAAAUCAAGAUUUCGGUUCAGUUCAAUAAAUUAUUUAUUGGUUCGAUUCGGUUUGAUUUUUCAAAAAUACCAAACCGAACCGGACCAUUUACACCCCUAGGGGGUGCUAUUGGAAAAAAAAAAUUAACAUGCAUGCCAAAGAUGUUAAACCCCCGAGCUCUCCCUCGCCUUGAGCUUUGACCAUUUUCAAUGCAAAAUUUUGCACCAAAAUAUUUGAAGUCGUGUUCCAAAAUGCCAGAACUUUGACUCAAGGGCUUUGGGAAAUUCAAAGCUGCUCGUCUCCCAUAUGCAGCUUGAGCGUCCUGGCUCGAUAGGGGCAGAAGUGUAAUUUCAUCAGUGCCAACUCAGUCGGCUCAUAAUUUGGGCCUCUUGACUCGGCCCCUUCCCCCCCAACAGAUAAAACCUAAAAUUUUCUUUUGAAACGGAUCUUGGUGUCCGACGUCUUCCCGACUUUCUGAACCUUUUAGCCCUGAGAGCAAAAAUAGAAAUCUCUUUUUCUAAUUAUUUUCUCUCUUUCUAAAAUUUUGAAUUUUAGCUUAUUCCACUUUAAAAUUUAAUAUCAACUUACAAUGCUCUCUGAAUUGGUGCUUUUUUAAGGCGAUCAAUAUUCACAUCUACAACCAUUUAAUAACAGGAUUAAUCAAUCUUUUUUUUUCAAAUUUUUUUGUCAAGCUUGCACCCUUUUUUAUAUAUAUAAUUUAAGAAUUAGGAGGUAAGAACAUAGUGAUUCAUGGUUCAACAAUUUACAUUAACCUCAAGAAAAAAAAAUAAACGUAGUUAUAAUUACUCUAAAUAUUAUUCUAUCAAAGAAAGAGCCAAUAAAUAAUCUCCAUACUAUAUAAGGAGUUGGCCGAUAUUGAUAAACAGUUAGGAGGACUAAAUAUUCAUUACCCUUAUUAAAAGGUUUACUUGUUUUCUUCUCUCAGAAUCAUACAAGUGUGAAAUAUUAUGUUUACUUCAUUUAUACUAUAAAGAACCCUAAUACUGUGCACACAAUUCAGGCUUUAUAUUUUAUUUUAUUUUUAUUGUAUAAUUGAUGUACACAAAAUAUAAACACGUCUUUGUCUUUCUUCCUAUUUGGUAAAAAAAAAUCUUUCACAAAUUAGAAUAUAUUAAUGUAAACACUUAAUUCGUGUGCUUGUUACACUAUAACUAUACUAAUACAACCACAAAAUAGAANNNNNNNNNNNNNNNNNNNNNNNNNNNNNNNNNNNNNNNNNNNNNNNNNNNNNNNNNNNNNNNNNNNNNNNNNNNNNNNNNNNNNNNNNNNNNNNNNNNNNNNNNNNNNNNNNNNNNNNNNNNNNNNNNNNNNNNNNNNNNNNNNNNNNNNNNNNNNNNNNNNNNNNNNNNNNNNNNNNNNNNNNNNNNNNNNNNNNNNNNNNNNNNNNNNNNNNNNNNNNNNNNNNNNNNNNNNNNNNNNNNNNNNNNNNNNNNNNNNNNNNNNNNNNNNNNNNNNNNNNNNNNNNNNNNNNNNNNNNNNNNNNNNUAUAUCAAGCUAAGUUGAACCCUUUUUUUUUUUGUAUGUGUGGCUCUCCAUACAUCAAUUUCACCUAUCAUUUUAAGAUCGGUUUUGCACGCUAAAAGAGAUAUUAUAAUAUUAUACAUUGCUUGUUUACAGAAUUUAUACUUACCUUAUUAUCUCUUCACGAAUAGUGGCCAACAAAAAAAAUCAUAAUUAAGUGACUCCUACAAGUGCACGAUUACAGAAUGCCGCAUGUGAAAAAAGUAACUUUAACCUGCUAUGAACUGAGAUGACAAAAACCAAUCAAAACAAAUAAUGUUGAUUAAGCUUUUUUAAGUCUAAAGUCCAAGUAUGCAAGGACUGACCUAGUUCAUUUUUUUUUUUAUUUAACAUAGUGAUCAAGAUAAUAUUUUUUACUUACUUAUAGUAGAUAGAAAUAAAAUCUAAUUUUAAUUCUCCAAAAAGUUGACUGAGAUAGUGAGAGAUUGAUUCAUACGACAAAUCCUAUAUCUAGUUACAUACUCGCCAUUGGUAAUCAUGGGCGUGCAUAUCCCAAGCUUAUGGGGUUCAUGUCCCAAGGUUAAAUAACAAGACAUUAUAUAUUCUUUUUCCAACUUAACAUUGUGUUUAGCUUAUGGGGAUUCAUGUCCUAAGAUUUAAUAACGAUGCCAUGUUUAUUUUUUGCCUGACUUGUAUCGAGUUUUUCAUCUCCCAUACCUUUUCUUGGAUGCUUUCAAUGCUUGGUUGUUUACUUUAAAAAGCCAUUUCAAUGGCCUAUAUGUUAAUUUCCUUUCCAGAAGCUUGAGACUAGAACAAUUUUUUUAGUUGUCAACUAAAACUCAAAUGUCAAUACUAAUGUAGACAAUUUUAAAUUUUAAAUUCUAUUUUUAUUUUCUUCACAAGGCCAACAAGAUUGUCGACCUCCCUCGCUAGGCAUGGGGGAGGGUUCGUUGUGUCACAAAAAUAAUAUUUACAAUAUACGAAAAUCGAGAUUAGGCGAAACUUAAACAUGAAUGUGCCAUAUGAUAUUGAACUUCAACUCGUUAGUACUCAGCUCAAUAGUUUUACAAGUCUAAUUGAGUUUUUCUUUUUGUAAAUUAUUUAUGUGAAAUUUCAAGCCCAAUCUAUUUAAAUUUUAGCAUAAUAAAAUUGAAUUCAGGUGCAGCUUUUGAAUACUUCGAUUUUCUUUUCCAAUUCAGUUCGAGCAAGAAAUUCAAUUCUCAAUCAAGCAAAGCUCGAGUGAAGUUUCGCGCUAUCAAACACGUGAGUCGAGCUUGACAUUGCAUCAGCUCGUCUCAAUGUGAUUGUCCUUCUUUCUCGAGGACUAAGCCUAGGACGCUAGCGCUUAGACUUGAUACCUCAAAGGUGGAUUUGCGCGUCCUUUUUGCGCGUUCUUUUUGCGCGUCCUUGGGCGUGGGCCGGACCCGAGACCUCACAAACGAAUCUGGAACUACGAAGAAUCGGCCAAGGACUCAGAAGACAAAAGCUGCCACUAGAUUUAUAAACCCCUAGUGGCAGCUUUUGUCUUCUGAGUCCUUGACUUCCGCCGGUGUACCGUUNNNNNNNNNNNNNNNNNNNNNNNNNNNNNNNNNNNNNNNNNNNNNNNNNNNNNNNNNNNNNNNNNNNNNNNNNNNNNNNNNNNNNNNNNNNNNNNNNNNNCCACCGUAGUUCCAGAUUCGUUUGUCGAUCACGUCGAUCUCGCCCUCCACACCCUCACCGCCGCGCAUAAGCAGCAUAUUUAUCUGAAAUCGAAAGCUGAAAACGUCUUCACGAGCCAAUAUUUUCCUGAGAAUGGGACAGGCUGAGAGCGCUUGUUUCUUUGGAGCGAGAAAGAGCAAGAGCCAGAGCAAAGGGAAGAGAUCGUCGACCUCGCUGCCGAUCGGGGAAGGGCAACCCCGGGUCAGAGGCCGCCGAGCCUCUCCGAGAGCAAAGCCCACUCUGCUUCAGCCUUCAGCCCUUCUAAUGGCCGCUUCUUCGAAUAUGAAAAGGAAUUACCAUGUGUUCCUCAGUUUCAGAGGGACAGAUGUCCGCCAAGGCUUCCUCAGUCAUCUCUACGCGGCUCUGGACCAGCAAGGAAUAUACACUUUUGUGGAUAGCGAGGAGCUUAGGAAAGGAGAGGAAAUAUCGCCGGCGCUCGUGAGGGCGAUCGAGGAAUCGCGCAUCGCGAUCAUCGUUUUCUCUGAGGACUACGUCUCCUCGCGGUGGUGUUUGGAAGAGCUAUUGAAAAUCAUGGAGUGCAAGAAGCGAAAUGGCCUGAUUGUGUUCCCUGUGUUUUACAAAGUGGAACCCAGAGAAGUAAGAGGAGGGAGAGAGAGCUAUGAGAGAGCUAUGGCUAAGUAUGAGUCCAAGUUCGGAAAGAAUUCGGAGAAAGUGAAGAGAUGGAAGAAGGCUCUUUUGGAAGCCGGUAGCUUGUCUGGGUGGGAGUUGAAUGACAGGUAUGCAAAAAUGUGACAUGGUGUUUCGUGAUUGUUAGCUUGUGAUUGUUUGUUAGAUAUCAAAUUGUAUGCUCUUUUUUGGAUCUUCGAAUUGAAGAUACAAAGUGGAGAUAAAUUAGACAGUAGACACAUAACAAAUAACCAAAGCUCGUAGAUUCUUUGAAUUGAUUUUUGCUGUGUGGAUAAUGAGAAAUUUAUCAAACAUAAGUAGUGUGAUUCAUAGUGCCUUAGUCAUUAUUGUCUUCAGAUUCAGGUUCUUUGUAAUUUUCCUUGCGUAGAUGAUGGCGCAGGUUCACCCACCUUUCGUCUUAUUAUUUGCUAAUCUUCUUAUGAAAUUUUCCUUAUCACGUUAGAGGUUGAAUUCCUGCUAUGGCUUUGAAAUGCUAAAACGGGUUUUUCUUUCUUGGAGUGCUUAUCAGAGAUGAAGCGGAUCUCAUACUAUGCAUUGUAAAGGAAUUAUUGAUUCGUCUCAACCGAAAAUCUUUACAUGUCGCUAAGUAUCCGGUUGGAAUAGAUUUCCAAGUUCAAGCACUGUUAAGGUUGUCACAGAAAGAGUCGGCUGAUGAUGAUAUUCUGAUGAUAGGUCUAUGGGGACCUGGAGGCAUAGGGAAGACAACAAUUGCCAAGGCCCUGUAUAAUGCUAUGAUGGGACAAUUUCAGGUUUGUUGUUUUUUGGAGCAAGUUAGAGAAAAAUCAAACCGAAGCGAUGGUCUUGUUACUUUACAAAAGGAUCUUCUAUCUGAGAUCCUGGUUCAUCCUUUAACGAUCUACAGUGUCGCCNNNNNNNNNNNNNNNNNNNNNNNNNNNNNNNNNNNNNNNNNNNNNNNNNNNNNNNNNNNNNNNNNNNNNNNNNNNNNNNNNNNNNNNNNNNNNNNNNNNNUGCAAGAAGGUUCUCCUGGUUCUGAUGAUGUGACCAUAUGAGUCAACUGAAUGCAUUAGCUGGAAAAGGCAAUUGGUUUGGAAAAGGAAGUAGAAUCAUUGUUACAUCAAGAGAUAAGCAAUUGCUGACUUCUCAUGGCAUAAAUUGUGUGUAUGAAAUUCAAACUUUAGGAUGCCAUGAAGCACAAUAUCUUUUUAGUCAAUAUGCUUUCCCAAAUAGCAAGAGUGUUGAAAUAAGAAGGGAUCUCAUAGAUAAAGCACUGCAUUAUGCCGACAGACUUCCAUUAGCCCUGGAAGUGUUGGGCUCAUUCUUACGUGGAAGAAAGGAACCUGCAUGGGAAAGUACGUUGCAUAAACUCUCCAAAAUUCCUGAAACAACUAUCAAUCGAGUUCUCAAGAUAAGCUUCAAUGGAUUGGAGAACAACGAGAGGGAGAUUUUCCUUGAUAUUGCUUGUUUCUUUAAGGGGAAAAAUAUAAAGUACAUCAAGGAAGUUCUUGACAGCUGUGGUUUUCACACAGCCAUAGGAAUAGAUAUUCUCAUGGAAAGGUCCUUGAUAAAAAACCAGGAUGAGACCUUGGAAAUGCAUGAUUUGAUCCAGUCAAUGGGUCGGGAUAUUGUUAAUGAAGCAUGUCGUGAUGAUCCUGGGAAACGCAGCAGAUUAUGGCUUUUGGAAGAUGUUGAGGACAUUUUUUGUUAUAAUACGGUAAAAGUUGUUUAUGUCAGUUUUGCUACAUUUCAGUUUACAUUACUCUAAUUCGGACAGUAUAAUGUAGAUCUUAACUUGAAAUUUUGUCUAACAACUGAAUUUGCCCUGUUAUGGAUAGGGGACGGAUGCAGUAAAGGCUAUAGUAUUGGAAAGGUCCCCACCAGAAGAAAUAAUCAUCAUUCCUAAUGCUUUCACAANNNNNNNNNNNNNNNNNNNNNNNNNNNNNNNNNNNNNNNNNNNNNNNNNNNNNNNNNNNNNNNNNNNNNNNNNNNNNNNNNNNNNNNNNNNNNNNNNNNNAGUACGUCUCAUGAGCUAAGAUGGCUUGUAUGGCCCAAUGCCCCAAAUCUAGAAUUUGGCUCUGGUCCAAAUAAACUUGUGAGACUCGAUGUCCCGCAAAGUCAUAUCAGACAAUUAGGGGGCAACUCUCAGGUAAGCCCUUGUGAUGAUUAGCUUUUCCUUUUUAUAGCUAUAAAAAAUAUUUGCAGAGCUGAAUGAUUGCACUAGUAUGUUUUUGCAGAAAUUUAGAGAGCUGAAGUGCAUCAAUUUCAGUGCAUGCAAGUCCGUGGUUAGUAUUCACGACCUGUCAUUGGCUUCAAAUAUGGAGAAAUUGAUUCUUGAUGGAUGUGAGAGCUUGGUGGAGGUUCACCCAUCCGUUGGAAAUCUUGUCAAGCUAGAAGUUCUGUCACUAGAGUCUUGCUCUAAUCUUGGUAAUUUUCCCAAUACACUGAGGACUAAAUCCCUUCAAACCCUUAAUCUCUCUGGUUGUUUUAAAUUCAAGAAGUUCCCAGAUAUUGACGGAAAGAUGGAACAUCUGAAAGGACUUUAUCUUGAUAGGACGGCUAUUAAAGAACUCCCUGCAUCAAUUGAAAAUCUUGUCUCUGUGAAGCGGAUAACAUUAGCAUUUUGCAAUAACCUCGUAAGGCUUCCAUGGCACAUUUAUAAGUUGAAAAAUCUCAAGGAUUUGAAUCUUUCUAACUGCUUGAAUUUAAUCACAUUUCCAAAAAAUAUGGAGUAUUCAACUGAUCCCAAUGUUGGUUUCCAAAAACUAAAGUUCCUAAAACUUAGCCACUGCAAUCUAUCGGAAGUAGACUUCCUCGAGAGUUUUUCCAGUUUUCCCAUAUUGGAGAGACUAUACCUUUUAGAUAACAAGUUUACUCAUCUGCCGGCAUGCAUCGACAAGUACCCUAGUUUGUACGAAUUGUGUGUUGAUAGAUGCGAGCUGCUACAAGAGAUUCCUCAGCUUCCACGACAUAUCGUGCUAUCAGCCGAUCGUUGCAAAUCUCUG
rnacentral:lncRNA from 1 species